CACAAUGUCGGACUCUAAUUGUCUCUAAGUUUUGGAGGCCCUGCAACAGCUCAACUGGAAACAACUUCUUCACCCUCGAACAAUAACUCAUAUGGAAUUUUUUAAGAGAAGAGAAGAUGGCAGGUGGUGUUGGAGCAUGAGAGGUAGAUUCAAUUUCAACCACUACUCCUAUUCCUACUCUCACAACUUCACGCAAGUUUCUCAACAAAAAUAGGCGUAACUCCUCAAUGUUGUCAAGUGCGUCACAAGACGAUAAUGACAAGUCAACCACACACUCUAUCCCUCUACAGUUCGUAAUUUGACAUUCCUUCCACUCAGUCACCUUACGAAACAAAGGAAUGUUGUUUAAACAUUUGAAAUCAUCGUACUUUUGAAUAGUUAAAGUUUGAAGGUCAUGUGGGACCACCCUAUCAUCACACCUCUCUAUCUCCGAACCUGUGAAUGUAAUCUGUUUCUUAAUUUUUUUGAAAUUUGGGCAACCCCAUAAAUCAAAACGCCAAUCCACCGAUGGUCCCCCCACUUGAAAAAAGAAAGAUGUAGGGCAUUUACCUUGUGUACACUCUGCGUAUUUAUUAAACUCUUGCACGUUGCGAAAUGAACAUUGAACCCACUCAAGCUUCCUCAAUUGGCCUACUUCUUCUCCCUUUAAAAACGUCUUCUCUAUUAUUAAGCAUUGGAGAUGACAGAUCCUCGGUAAUAUUCCUACCGGUAGCUCUUUUAAAGCCGUUGACCCCAUAAGAAGAUCUCUCAAGUUUUCUAACAUCUCUAUGCCAUGAGGAACCUCUUCAAUUCCUGUGCCCAAAAGGUUCAACUUUCUUAGUGCUGUGAGCUCUACUAAGGAAGGCACCUUUUUUAACUCCUCACAACCAGAAAGUAUCAAUGCAUUGAGAGUUUUCAAGUUAGAGAUCGAAUUGGGCAGAUAUUCUAAGGAACGAUUAUCUGAAAGAUUUAGAACUUUUAACCCAGACAUGUGCUUAAAAAAAGAUUCUGAAAUCCUUUCUAAGCCACAAUGUUCCAAAAUCAAAGUUGAUAAAUGAGGCCAUCUAGGUGAUAUGUGAGGAGGAAUUUCUAAUUUAAAAGUUUCCAUCAAGGAAACUUUCUCAACACUCACUGUCCAUUCUUGCUCACUUGGGAAUUCUUUCAAUGGCAUACCUGCUUUUCCCAUGAACUGAUGACCUGCAAUAUACAACGCCAUGUCCCUCAAAACAUCAUGCAUCUUAACUCCAUCAUUAUCAAUAAGAAAUGUAGCCCUCUCUAAUAGGCAAUUACUUUCAAGCUUAUUUAAAAUGCUAUAACCUCUAUGAUGCAUUGCUUCUUUGGUCUGUAAGCCAUCAAGGAGUCCCUCAUCUAUCCAAUUUUCAAUUAAUUCCACUUUUCUAAUUAUAUAAUCUUCAGGAUAUAGGGAGCAAUAUAAGAAACAAUUUUGGAUUUUUGGAUCUCUCAAAUGGUCAUAACUGAACUUCAAAGGCUCAUAUACUUCGAUAUCCAAUUCUUUCACACUUUCCACACGCUCUUCUAAUUCAAUUAGUGCAUUCUUCCACUCACAAAAAUCAUCUACCUCUUUCAUGCUACCGGCUAUUGUCACAAUACUAAGUGGUAAACCGCCACAUUUCUCAACAAUUUUGUCGACAAUGUCCUUUAAAUUUUGAUCUUGUACAACUCUACGCCCCACGUGAUCUAAGAAUAAGUUCAUGGACUCAUUCUUUGGAAGCAGUUGCACUUUGACCACCUCACAACCCAUAGACUUACAGACCUCAAUCGAUCUGCUAGUGAGUACAACUUUCCUUCCCAUACCUAAUGUUGGUUCAAGGAUUCCCAAAUCUAAUAGAGAAAAUCGUUUCCAAACAUCAUCUAAGAUCAACACAUAUCUCUUUUCCUCCAAAAUAUCCUUUAAUUUUGCAGCUCGUUGCAAUACAUCCGUUGGAAGAGCUUGUUUCAAAGAAUUUGCAAUAUCUUCUUGCAAUUUGAAAAUAUUCAAUUCUUUUGAUACGGUGACCCAUAUCACUUGAUCAAACAGAUUAUCCUUCAACAAUUGAUUAUUGAUAUGCUUCAUAAUGGUAGUUUUCCCUAUGCCACCCAUUCCACAUACUCCAAUCAUUCUAACCUUAUCACCCAUCAAAUACUUCCAAAUUUGUUCUUUUACAUCGAUUUCACCUUCUAGAUUUGGUGUUAGUAAUGUCACCCCAGUGGCUGGAGGCCCAUCAACUGCCACACCAUCAGGGAAACUACCUUGUUGGUAAAUUUUGUUUACCUUUUCAAUAUUUUCGCAAACAAAACUUCCUAGAUGACCACGUGACAAGAAUGAAACAGAACGGAACUCCUCUUCGAUGGUUUUCACUUCAUUGCCUACAUUUUCUACAUCUUUGAGCCAGUUCGCCACUUCUUUCUUCAUCUUUUUCCCACAACGUUCCUCUGCUUCCAUUUUUAAUUCAAGGUCUCGCUUUCGAGAAUUUAGACUAUUUACAUUUCCUCGAAGCUCAUUCAUAUAAUCUUCAAGUUUCCGAUGAUGAUUUAUGUAUGGACCCCCAAAGCUCCUUAUCACUUCAACAAAUGACAAUAUCCAAUCCAUAUUAUAAGCUCACUGCAAUUUAAAAACCCAACGUAUGUUAAGAUUCUUGCUUCACUUGUUAUGUUUGAGUAUAACAAAGAUAAAAUUGUUAAUGAAGCUUUGUUUCAAUGGUAAGGAAGAUGUGUAAGUUCGAUAUUACUUUUAUGCUAGUUAUUUAUUUAUUUAUUUUAUUGAUAAUUUGUUCAUUAUUUUUUACACUGAACGUAAUCAUUUGUUUUAUUAUGACUGUAAUUUGUACUUGUUCAUGUAAUAUAAAAAAAUAUAUAUAUAAAAAAGCAUUUUUGUUUUUAACUAAAAUUCUGAAUUUCUGGUGUUUGAUUAAUUAGUAAUGAGUUGUUUAAUUACUAUAUUUCUUAAAUUCUGUUUUAGAAUAUCGGGUGAAGCAUCUGUAAUACUUUUAUAAACCAUUACCAAAUGUUUUAUUCCUUCUACCUUAUUUUUUAUAUUUUCCUUCAAAAUUUCCUUAAUAUUCCACUUUCAAGCAAAACUAAGUAAAUAUAAACCAUAAAUAAUUAAUAAAUGAUUUAUUUUUCUUUCUCCCCUGUUGAUAACUAUCAAAAAUUCUUGGAUAUUAAUUACAUCAUCAAUAAAAGGAGGGAUAAAGAAGAAACACUAAUUUUCAAUAAAGAUAAACAUCAAAGGCACUAAAGAAUAUUAAUUAAUAUUUUUUUGAACAGUUCUAAAAAAUUUCAAUUAUGGAUUAAUAUAAUCUAAAUAUAAGUAAGGAAGUUUGUGAAAACAACAAUAUAUCCCACAAAGACAUUAAGAAAUAAUUGCAGGAAUAAAUUGUGAGAGUAAUGACCUUCAGGAUAUAUACCUGGCUUGUUCUUCAAAUUAUUCGGAAAGAUGAAACCCAAAGGUCAGUUAAAUGAUCCACAAACCUCCUUGUCUCUUUGUUAAGCACAACCUUCUUAGGCAGAAGAAAGAAGCUGGCAUAAAAUUAACAAGGAAAAUUAGUAGUGUUAAUAAAAGUGAAAAUCUAAUGUGGUAUAGUCUUCAGAGUUAUUUGCCUAAAUAAGAAAAUAGAGGACACAAAACAAAGAACCAAAAUAAUUAAGUGGAAGGAAAGAUGAUGAAUUUAAGAUUCCAGAAAACAUGAACCCAAAUCUAUAUUAAACAGUUUAAUUACCUGGUCAAGUGAGGUAGAUGAGGUGGUACUUGUAUCCUUAGAGGGUCUUAAGUCUGUGAAAGCAGGAAACUAAGAUCUCUGUUAAAUUUGUGAAGAAAACAGCAACAAGCAGAUCUCCUCCCAAACUAUUAUCUAUGAGAAGAAAAUGAAUAAUGAAGCACAUGAAUUAUUGAAAAGUGGACAAGGUAAAUAUUUAUGUGGAAACUAAAAUAAAUGCCCAACUUGUGUUGGAAGGUAUGGUAAGAUGAAUUUAUGUCAUAAGUUAAGAUUCUGAUUAAUUACUGCUACCAAAGAUAAACAUAAAUCACACAAAUAUAAACAGUUUACCUGGUUCACGGAGACAGUGAACUGAUUCUUCUGUCGUUAGAAGGUCUUUGUUAAAUUUGAGAAGCAAGCACACUCAGGAAAUAUAGCAGCAAUAAGCAGAUGAUCUCCGUGAGAAGAGAAUCGAUGAAUUGUGAAGCUAAAAGAAUUAAGAGCUGGCAAGUCAAUGCAAAGUCGUCGCACAAAUUGUACAUUCACUUUCCUUGAAGUUGUUUCACAGUAAUGCAAAUGUAAAUUCACUUUCCUUGAAGUUGUUUCACGGUAAUGCAAAUGUGAAUAGAAGAAAAACUGACAAAGUAGGACUGAAUUAUGGGGCCACUUGUCCUACUUUCCACUCCUUCAUUAUUGUCCUUCUUGUCUUCUGUUUGGCAAUAAUGCAAGUAUGAAUUUAACAGAUGCCCUGGAUUAAGAAACUUAUAACUUUAAUAGAAGUUUAUAAUUUAAGAAGUGAAUUAGUCUAACCAAAAAACUGAACAAUUAUUUUUUUGUUGCUGAUAACAAAGGUUUGAUUAUACACAGAAUGUAAUAAGUUAUGAUCUCCUAAAUUUAGUCCAUCUUAUAAGUGCUUGAAUUCAUAUAUACUAAUGUCCUCAGUCUUGAAUUCUUUUCUUAUUGCUGAUAACAAUGGUUUACUUAUGUUCAGAAUGAAAUAGGUUAUGAUCUCUUAAAUGGAGUCCAUUUUAUAAGGAGACAGGAAAGAAAGAGCCCUGUGUUUGAUGGCAGUGAGGCAACCAGAUUGAUUUUCCACUAAUUAGCCACAUCAGAUUACUAUGUAUAGCCACUAAGUCAAGUGAAGCAACGAUCUCCUAUCAAGAAAAUAACAAACAGCACAUCUCCUGGCAAAUUAACUCAUCUAUAAUGACAAGAGAAUGAAUUAAUAAUUUAAAAGUGGGCAAGUCAAUGCAAGUCAUGAUGUUGGUUUCGGGGUCACUUCCCUUAAAGCUGCUUUAAAAUAAAGCAAAUAGGAAUCGAAUAAAAGAUGAUAACGUGAGAGUGAAUACUGCUUCAUAUUUCUUAAAGACACAAUCAUGUAAGCUAUUUCGUUCAGUGCCUGGAUCAUAUGUAUGCACAUGUGCAUGCAUAGGACCAACUUUAAAACGAGCCCUGUCAAUCAUAGAUUAUAUCAUUCGUGAUAUAAUCUGAUGAAUAACAGGUGAUAUAAUCUGAUGAAUAACAGGUCAUUGCCAAUAUCACAAGAGUUAUUGAUAAAAACUAAAACUUGGGAAAUGUUGACAAGUAUUUGUAUAUUUAUACUAUACACAGAAAAGACUCAAGAAGGUCUUUGUUAAAUUUGAGAAACAAGCACAGUCAAGAAAAAUAGCGGCAAUAGCAACAAGCAGAUGAUUUCAGUGAGAAGAGAAUCCAAUAAUUAUGAAGCAAUAAGAAUUACAAGUCAGCAACUCAAUGCAAAGUCGUCGCAGAAGCUGUAAAGUAACUUCCCUUGAAGCUGUUUCACAAUACUGCAAAUGUGAAUUGAAGAAAAACUGACAAAGUAGGACUGAAUUAUGGGGCCUACUCUCCUCCAUCAUUGUCCUUCUUGACUUCUGUCGCGAUAAAGAAAAUAUGAAUUGAACAAAAACUGACAGACUAGUAUUAUUGUCCUCGCAACUUUCUUUCACAAGGGCACCCAUUUUUAUGUCCUAAGGCAAAGACCAAAAUUAUCUGGGAACAAUCAAAGAAAGUUGUAUGUCCUUUGCUACUUGCUAGCUAUCUUGACUAAUAUUGUAUGUAACACUUAUUAUUUUCUAUAAAUUUUUACAUAAUAACAAAUUUGAUGUAAAGUUCAUUAGUUAAUGGUACGUUAAUUCACUUGAUCGAUAACUAAUUAAAAUGUGAAAAGUGUAAUUUUAUUAAUUCCGUAGAAUUAUUUUAGUGAAGUUUCUAAGUAUAUCAUCUAAUCCGGUAUCUAGCAUCAUUAUUUCUACUUUUUUUUUUCCUUUUGUAUAAGUAUAUCGAUAACCAACAAUUAUUUUCAGGGUUGUUUAACAUACUAUGGCCACUGUCAUGCAUUGCUAUGUCUAGUCUAUAAUUCAUGGAGGAAUCCCUCCUCGGUUCAUUUCUCUAUUUUACUCUAUUCUUUCAAUUUUGCAGUCUUCAUGAUAUAAGAAGCAAUAGAAAAAAUAAUUUUGGAAUUUUGAGUCUUCCAAAUGAUCAAAAUUACACACACUACAACAAAUUUGACUUAAAACAGCACAUUUUAUAAAUGUGUUACUAAAAAUAUUUUUAAUAACACUUUUUUUAUGUUUUUUAGAACAGCUUUUUAGAUCUAAUUUUACUAUAUACAUUUUUAGAUGCAUUAUCAAUAAAAUGUAACAAUAGAAAUUAUAUACACUAACAAAUGUUGCAUUUUACUGUACAAAAAAUAUAUCGUCCAAACAAGUGUGGUUAAAACUUAAUUUUUUUGCUAUUACAUCAAACACUCAAAUAUUUCAACAUCUUAUCUUCUCACACUUUUGACCCGUUAAUUCAUUUAAUGCAUCCUUCCACUCACAAAUAUAUGUCAUUUACUCCAUGCUACCUAAUAUUGUCAGAAUGGCGUGUCUUUGCCAAAUACUUCUAAUAGGCCCUAACUGAUUAGGCAAAACAUAUCUUCAAAUUGGAAUAAUUAAGGGAUUGGACUUAUCUACAAGAACCAACAUCUGAAGUUGCAAGGAAUAUAAUCUUACUCCAAAAUGGAAUUUGUAAUUAUAGAGUCUUACAAAUGCUAAUUACAUAGCACAAAUUAAUGAUCAGAUAAUGCAGUCUUCCUAGAUGGAUGAUUUGAAUAUGAGAAUUAUGAGCUGAGUACAGUGGAGAUUUUUCCUCACAUUUUUCUAUAAUAUUAUUUAUGAGCAGCCUUAGCUUCAUAUAUUAUCAAUUAGUGCAUGGGAAGCUUUGAAGAACAUUAUGAGACAAUUAGUAAGUAUUCAUAACUAUAUAGAAAAGAAAGGAUAGCUUCUAUAUGAAGCAUUUUGCUUGCAAAAUACAUGCAGGGUGCCACAUGAUUGGAUAUUUCAGUUGUAUGGAUAUUUGAAGUCCUAGGAUAGCAAUUGUUUGGGAAGAAAGAAUUUCUGAGAAACUUUCCUCAAUGUUGACAGGGACUUUUCAUAUCAUCUGUUAUGACAAUUUGACUUCCACUAACCCUCACCACUUUCCCCAUUUUUUUGGGUAAUAAAAAGAAGUUGAUUUUUUCCAACUUAAAUUGAGGUAUUUGACAGGCUACUGAUGAUCUAAAAGACUUCACUAUCCAAUUGCAUGGGCCUCAGGGCACAAUUUGAACAUCAAAUACAAAAUUCAACCUGGUUGAGCUCCCAACUGUGUAAAGAAAAAAUCAAUUAAAUAUUGUUCAAUUCUUGCUUGUAACGUCUGCAGAUUGUAUAUGAGACUGAUGGAGUAAUAAAUAUGUCUAACCCAGAGAAAUCAUGGAUUAAUCAACUCGUUCUUUUAAAAGGGAAGGCAUCACAUUAGUUCAUCUACUAACUAAACCUUUACAAGCGGAAUAUUGGAUUAAAGUUAAAACAAGGGAUCUCUCUUUGAUAUAAACUAGUCCUAAAGAAUUUAUAGGAUAAUUGAGAGAUUGAAUACUGAAAUUGAAGAAGUCCAAACUUUUGUUUGGCAUAUAUUCAUAAACCAGCAUCUUUUCCUCUCCUUCAAUGCAACAUCCCAGGAGCUUUACAAGAUUUCGAUGUUGAAGCUUGGCAAUUAGUGCUACUUCAUUUUUGAACUCAGUUAAACCUUGUCCAGAGCUUCUUGAAAGCCUCUUCACAGCGAUCUCUUGUCCAUCUACCAGGUUACCCUGAAAAAAAUGUACUUUAAAGAGUUGUAACUUUGUUCUAAACAUACUUCAUACUUUGUCUUCUGAUCAAUUUCACCAGAAUGUUGCAAAUUUACCCUGUAUGCAUGCCCAAAACCACCUUGUCCUAGUUUGUUGUCAAUGGAGAAAUCAUUGCUUGCUUCGGAUACUAAUGAUAAGUCGAAUAACUGGACUUCUGAGUCUUCGCUUUGCCCUUCAGUGCUCCUGUCCUUUAUCACAUGGUUUUCUCUAGCCCCUGAAACAUUUUAGUACAUACUAACAUUAGCCAUAGAAGGCUAUAUCAUGUUGGUCAAUUGUAUUUCUGAACAGACUAGGGAAGUUGGUAAUUAGUAUUCUAAAACAUAGUGAAAACAUGAUUUGUGAAAGCAAAUGGAUCAGAUAGUGUUACCUUAUAAACAGCUCCAAAACCACCUUCCCCUGGCUUGUUGUCCAUAGAAAAGCUAUGAGUAGCAAGCGCAAAUAUUGCAAGCUCCAAGUCUUCAUCCAGGCCUUGAUUUUCUGAAUCAUUUUCCUUAUUGUUUUCUGUUUCUCUGAAAUAGUAGUCAAAAUAGGCUUUUUAUUCACCAUAAAAUAUGCAUUCUAAUUGAGCUAGAUAACUGAACAUAAAACUCAUUUUUCACACCAAUAAGCAUUGAAAACUACUUAUUUUUUGAGAAAAAAAAAACAUUAUUCCAAUGAACUGGCAAACAAUCUAAUUUACUUCUUUUGAAGAAACUGCAUGUGGAUAAGUGGAUUAGGUAGCAUCACUAUUAACAAGGUAAUUUUUUUUGUUUAUUUAGCUAAGGAAUUGAAUGACAUAUUUGUGAAGGAUAUGUCAAAAUUACCUUUCAACUUUCUGCGGACUCUGUAAAUGUAAUAACUGAUUAUAAACAGCCCCAAAAGUGCAACACAGCGGUUUUGCAAUAGAUGCAACAAGCUUCAACCUUGGCUUAUCGCAUCCAAGCUUGGCUUUCUGCAUUCCAUGUGUAGCCUUGUAUCAUCAGUUUGGUUAGGAGCAAGUCCUGUGAUCAAUGAUUUCUAUUUGAGACAUUUUGGAUGGUUGACAUAUAAAAUACAAACACCAGGUGGGUUGAUCAUGCAUUGUUUUUAUGAGAUGAUGUGAUUGACUGACUCUUGAUCAAUGAACUGUACACAAAGUGCAGCAGAAAACAAUUUAUAAACAUUGAGAUUCCAGAUAAUUACUUGUAUUGAAUAAUUUCCAAUUCAUCAACCAUUUCACACCAGUAGACAUUUUCAUUAAAAGCACAAGGCACAAGCAUCAGCUGGGAAUGCAAUUACUUGAUUAUUAAAACAUAACUCAAAGCAUAGUCUUACGAACAGUAUAUAAACAGAGUUUGUAGCAUGGGAGAUGUGAGGAUACAACUCCCUAACCAACCUUUAACAUCGAUAUGGUUAUUUCAUUCUACAUGCCCACAGCAAAUGGAAAAGGAAACAAUAAUGUCUAAUCAAUCUUACUUGUUCAACAAGGAUUUGAAGGAUAACAGCUAAAUCAAUAAAUUGGCGUUGAAUUAAGUUAUAAGAUUUUGAUCACAAACAGAGGAAGUCCUCUCAUAAAUGAAUCAAACAAUAUUUAUGGCAAGUGAGGCAUGCUUGGUGCUGUUAAAGAUUUGCUUAUGAUUGAAUAAUCCUAUUAACUACUAACUUGUUCAUAAUGUUUUUAAACUAGCAUUUUUUAAAUAAUGCUAGUUUAAAAUAUGACCAUAUAUAUAUAUAUAAGAAAAAGAAUACUAUGGACCCUAAAUAUUACUUUAAUCAUUUUAUUAUAUCUUUUAACAUUUUAAUUCAUAAUAAUUUAAAGAUUUUAUUUACGUGUUAGAGUUCUCUUAUUAUUUUAUUUAUGUAUAUAGAUUUUUUUUCUUUUUAAAUUUGAAAAAAAUUUCAAACCUGGCUUGUAAUAUGUCAGUGAAAAAGAAAAUAAAGGGAUGUAGGCAAAGAGCUUAAUUAACUCUUUUGAAGAAACUGCAUGUGGAUUUGCUAGCAUCAAUAUUAACAAAGUAAUUAUUUUUUUGUUUAUUUAGCAAAGAAGCAAAAUAAGCAUAUUUGUUAAGGGUAUAUCAAAGUUACCGUUCAACUUUGCAUUGCCUCUGUAAAGGUAAUGACCGACUGUAUACAACCCCGAAAGCACAGCAUAGUGGUGUUGCAAUUACUGCAGGAAGUUUUAUCCUAGGCUUAUCUUUCAAUUCUGUAUGGCGAAAUUUGAUAAGGAAAAGCAUACAUGAACAAAAAUGAAAAAAGCAGCGAAAACAAGAGAAAAUGCAGACUCAUACCUGAUUCUGAAGCAGACACUCUUAACAUAUAGAUCCUGCCCUUUUGAUUCAAAUUGUCUGCAAUCAAUCAGAUUAUCAAACCAAAGGGCCCAACCACUACCUCUUCCUCUAUUAUCUGAACUAGUGUAUGCCAUAUAGGAAUAGUUCUGUAGAUACUUAGCCCUGCAUCCCUUGAGAUUCAUAGUUUUAGUCACCCAAGAAUGUGUAGCAUCUGGCAUUUUUAAAUCCUUUAAAUCUAAUAAAUCCAUCUCUGCUUUGGCAGUUGAAUGGCUUGUUGUGCUUACACCCUUGGCACCAGUCUGAUGAGUUCUGUCUUUUAGGGAAUUCAGGCUUAAACAUCAGCUUUCAGGGAAUUAAGGCUUGAAUCCUUUAAAAAGUGGAAGCUGAGCACCAUCACAAUUCCCUUUUGAACCACAAAGUCCAUAUCUAUCAAAGUAGUCUCUUGAAGCAAAUGACAGAAGCAUCCAAGCUUGCUUUCUGCAUUUCAUGUGUAGUCCUGUGAUCAAUGAUUUCUAUUUGAGACACUUUGGAUGGUUGACAUAUCAAAUAGAAAUGCCAGGUGGGUAGAUCAUGCGUUGUUUUUAUAAGAUGAUGUGAUUGACUGACUUUUGAUGAAUGAAGCAUACACAAAGUGCAGCAGAAAACAAAUUAUAAACAUUGAGCUUCCAGAUAAUUUGUAUUUCUCAAUAAUAUGAAGCUUAUUCCUCUAAUCAUUCUCUUCAUUGGACGAACAUAACUUCAAUGACUUACUUGUAUUAAAUGAUUUCCAAUUCAUAAACCAUUUGAGACUUUUUUUUCUCACAUCUGAUAGGUUGCAGGAUAGUCCCAAGAAUUGAUCACCAAGUUCAACAGGGUGCCUUCCUUCCUCCCAUAAUCUCCGAGCCUGCAGCAAAUUGAAAACCUUUUAGUCAUUUUAUUAUAUCUUUCAACAUUUUAAUUCAUAAUAAUCGAAGUAUUUUAUUCAAGCGUUAGAGUUUUAUUUAUAGUAGUAAUUAAUUAUUAUUAUUAUUUUUGUAGAUAGAGUGUGUUUUUUUUUCUUUCAAAAUUUGAAAAAAAUUAAAACCAAGUUUGAAAAAUGUGAGUGAAAAUGAAAAUAAAGGAAAGAGAUGGGCAGGUGUAAUAGGAGGGGAUGUAGGAGGUGUUAGAUGGCAAUUGGUGGAGAAAUGCAGAUUGAAGGGUGUUGAGUUUUAGAUUUUGGUAUUAUUCAUAAAACUAAAGACUUGGUUUUGUUUUGAUAUUAAAAAAAAGUAAUUAUUUAGCAAAUGAGAAAUUAAGAGAUAAAAACUCACAAUUAAUGUUUGUGGUUCUUAACAAGAAGCAAGAGCCUUAUAGCCACAUUUAAUCAAACACCUCUUCUCCAUCUCACUCUACCAAUCAAAAUAUCGAAGAAAGGGAGAAAGGACAUUCUUAGUGUGCUAUCCAACAACCCACAUCUGAUGUGAAUGCGAUUGUUAAGACCUAUAUAACAAUUCAAGUUCACCAUUACUAGCAACUUGAGCUUAAACUUUUGAGGGCUACGUGGUUUAGGCCCAAAAAGUUACUAGGCCAAUGGUUGGACUUGGGUCGUUACAAAUGGUAUCAGAACUUGCACCAGUCCGAUGUGAACUUUCACAUUGCUCUGGUGAGAUCUUGGUCCCGUGGAUGUGAUGUGUGGCCUUGAUGAGGACAUCAAGGAUUUGAGUGGGUGGGAUUGUGAUAUCCAACAUCCUACAUCUGAUGUGAAUGUGAUUGUUAAGACCUAUAUAACAAUCCAAGUCCACCAUGGACUUGGGUCGUUACACUUAGCAUCAAGUUGAUCCCAUUCCACUGAUUCCCACCAUUCUCUCGGGCCUAUUCUAAUAUAUUCUAGAGAAGGAGGAGAUGGUUUCCCAUUUUCAACAAGGGGAAGAGACAAAGGGAUCCUCUUUACUUCUGGACAUCUCUCUAUUUGAAGAUAUUGGAGAGAAUCUGCAGGAAUCAUAAGUCCACCACUGUAAAUGCUUUUCAGUUUUGGUAAAUUUCCCAAGAUUAAUGAUUUUAAUUUGGGAAGAAUAAAUGUUGUUCCUUCUUCUUUGUGAUUUUCUUCUAACGCUAUUAUUUCCUCCAUUUCUUCACAACAUUCAACGAAAAUUUUCUCUAAGUUUGGGAGGCCUUGCAACUGCUCAACUGGAAACAACUUCUUCAUCUUCGAACAAAAGCUCAUCAUCAAUAAUUUAAGAGAAGAGAAGAAGGUAGGUGGUGUUGGAGCAUGAGAGGUAGAUUCAAUUUCAACCGCUACUCCUACUCGUACUCUCACAACUUCACACAAGUUUAGCAAGUCAAGUAGUUGUAGCACCUCAAUGUUGUGAAGUGCGUUGCAAGACGGUAAUGACAAGUCAACCACACACUCCAUCCCUUCACACUCCGAAAUUUGACAUUUCUUCAAGUCAGGUGCCUUACGAAACAAAGGAAUGUGGCUUAAACAUUUGAAAUCAUUACACCUCGCAAAACAAAAAGUAUGAAGGUCAUUUGGGAGCAUUAUUUCAUCACACCUCUCUAUCUCCAAAUUUGAGACAUCAACCAUUUUCUCAAUUUCUUUGAAAUAUGGGGAAUGCAUAAUAUGAAUAUUACUAGGUGGUCCCACUUGAAAAAUGAAAGACAUAGGCCAUUUACCUUGUGUAGACUCUGCAUAUUUCUUAAACUCUUGCAUGUCACAAAUGAACAUAAAACACACUCAAGCUUCCUCAAUUUGCCUACUUCUUCCCCCCUUAAAUUUAACUGUACUAGUAAGCAUUGCAGAUGAGAAAUCUUCAGCAAUAUUCCCAUUGGUAGCUCCUUUAGAUCGCUUGACCGUAGACCAAAAUAUCUAAGGUUUUGUAACAUUUCUAUACCCUGAGGUAACUCUUCAAUUUUUGUAUUCCAAAGGUCCAAGUUUCUCAGUGCUUUGAGCUUUGCUAAUGAAGGCACAUAUUCUAACCUGAGACAAUAAGCAAGCAUCAAUGCAUUGAGAUUUUUCAAGUUAGAGAUGGAAUUAGGUAAAUCCACAAUCUCAUGAUUACGAGAAAGAUCUAGAACUUUUAGCCCAGGCAUGUGCUUAAAGAAAGAUUCUGGAAUUCUUUUUAAGCCACAUUGUUGCAAUAUCAAAGUUGACAAAUGAGGACAUUCGGGUGAUAUGUGAGGAGGGAUUUCUAUUAAUUUUGAAUUUUGCAUCAAAGAAACCUUUUCAACACUCACUGUCCAUUCUUGCUCACUUGGUAGUUCCUCCAACUGCACAUUGGCUUUUACUAUGAACUGAUGACCUUUAAUAUACAAUGCCAGGUCUCUCAAAACAUUAUGCAUCUUAACUCCUUUGUCAUUCCAAGUUGUAGCCCUUUCUAGCAAGCAAUUAUUUUGAAGCUUAUUUAAAAUGCUAUGGCCUCUAUCAUGCACUUCUUGUCUAGUCCUUAAGCCAUCAAGGAGUCCUUCAUCUAUCCAAUUUUCAAUUAAGUCAACUUCUUCAAUCACAAAAUCUUCAGGAUAUAAGGAGCAAUAUGAGAAACAAUUUUGAAUUUUUGGAUCUUUCAAAUAGUCAUAACUGAACUUCAAACGCUCAAAUAUUUCAACAUCUGAUCCUUUCACACUUUUCACACGCUCUUCUAAUUCAGUUAAUGCAUUUCUCCACUCACAAAUAUCAUUUACCCCCUUCAUGCUUCCAGCUAUUGUGACAAUGUUAAGUGGUAAACUGCCACAUUACUCAACAAUUUUGUUGACAAUGUCUUUUAAAUUUUGAUCUUGUACAACACUAUGCCCCACAUGUUUUAAGAAUAAGUUCGUGGACUCUGUCUUUGAAAGCGGUUGCACUUUGAUCACCUUACAAUCCAUAGAUUGAUAGACCUUAAUCGAUCUGCUAGUGAGUACAACUUUCCUCCCCAUAUCUAUUAUUGGUUCAGGGAUACCCACAUCCAAUAGAGAAAACCGUUUCCAAACAUCGUCUAAGAUCAAAACAUAUCUCUUUCCCUCCAAAAUAUCUUUUAAUGCUGAUGCUCGUUGCAAUUCAUCAUCUUUUAAAAGAGAUUGUUUCAAAGAAUCUGCAAUAUCUUUUUGCAAUCUAAAAAUAUUCAAUUCUUUUGAUACAGUGACCUAUAUCACUUUAUCAAAGUUCUCACUUUCCUUUAACAAUCGAUUGUUGAUAUGCUUCAUGAUGGUAGUUUUCCCUAUACCACCCAUUCCACAUACUCCAAUCAUUCCAACCUUAUUACCCAUCAAAUACUCCCAAAUUUGUUCUUUUACAUCGAUUUCACCUUCUAGAUUUAGUGUUGGUAACAUCACCCCGGUGGUUGGAGGCCCAUCAACUGCCACACCGUCGGGGAAACUACCUUUUUGGUGAAUUUCCUCUACCUUUUCAAUCAUUCGGCAAACAAAUUUUCCAAGACGACCACGUAAGAAGCAUGAAAUAGCAUGGAACUUGGAUUCAAUCUUUUCCAUUUCAGUGUUUACCUUUUCUACAGCUUCAAACAAGUACUCCACUUCUUCCCUCACCACUUUUCUGUGACGAAGCUCCUCUUCCUUUCUUGAUAUGAGGUCUCUUUUUUGGAUAUUUAAAACAUUCACUUUUUCUCGAAGAUCAUUCAUAUGUUCUUCAAGUUUUCGUUGAUGGUGUAUAUAUGUACAGGUUGGACCACCAAAGCACUUUAUCACUUCAAAAAUUGGCCCUAUAAGCUCCAUAUAAGCUAUUCCCUAGAGAUUAAAAACCAAGAUAUAUUAGAUCUCCAUAUGACAUAAGCUACUCCGUCCCUCCCUAAACUACAAUUCUAUAUUUUUCAUAUAAUAUAGAAUAUGUUAGAAAAAAAUGUUACUAAUUAAAAUUUUUUUACCAAUUCUUAAGAAAAAACAUAAUAUUUUUGAAAACAUUAUUAAAAACAAGAAGUUUUUGUUUCAUCAUCUUUGAGUAUAAUAUUUACAUUUCCAACAAUAUUUAUAUCUAGAUGAAUGUAUUCAUUUUUCCCCUUAAAAAACCAUCGCAAAUUCUUGAAUAUAUUAUAUCUAUAUGGUUCCUAGUUUUGAUCAUUACAACAUUAAUAAAAGGAUGAUGAGAAUGGAGAAAUCAAUUUACUAUAAAUAUAUAAAUGACAAAAUUUUUUAUAAAAAAAGGAAUCCAUUUAAAGUUGAUAACUUGCGUUUCUAACAUGUAUACAUAUUAAAUAAAUGUACCUGUGAAAGAAUCACAGGUACUAGACGAAAAGUAUCCAGUUCUUUAAUAUAUUUAUUUAAAUUGUAUUAUUCUGUAUGACAGAUUCUCCUUUCAAGUAUUCUGUUAUAAACUUUUGAAAUUAAUCUGAAUUUAUAAUUUACAAAGAGAAAAUUAUGUACCCUAGUCUUGAAAUCUUUCCUUGUUGCCGAUAUAGAAAGAUUUGACAAUGUACAUAAUGACAUGAAGUGCCCUGUUUUUUGAUGGAGCUUUAGCAUCAAACUUCAAUUAGCUGAGUUAACCAGAUUGUUAGUUCCUUGAUUGAUUUUCCAAUUAACGAGCCAUAUCAGAAUAUUAGACUUGAGAAAUGGAAUUUUGACUUCUAAGGUCCUAAAAAAGAUUAAUUCACAAAAUACAUAAAAAUAAAAUGUACAAGAUGACGAUGAAAAUCAUUUGUGUAAAGAUAUUGAUGCUGUAUGACAUAUAAUUUUGCUUUUGGUCAAAUAUUGAAAUAUCGUAAGGAACAACGCGUUGAGCUUCCAACAAUGUGUCAGUCAUUUCAUUGGUUGAAGAAGACUUUAAAUGUUUUAACCCCAAAUUACUAUUCAUAACACGUUUUCAUUAAAUAUAUCAGAGAUCAGCUUUUUUCGUUUUGUCCCAAUUUUCUUGGUUUUCACUUUUCAGUGAAUUAAAGACCUAAAAAAUCUUUGUCAUCAAUGGAUAACAUCAUUGGUGAUUACAUUCGAGCCUUCUAUUAAGUUUAUGUAGCAAAUACAAAUAAGUAAUGGCUUAUCAUGCAUUUUUAGUUUUGUUAUGAUGUGAGGAUUAUAUGAGUCUUCCUCAAUGAAACAUCUGAAAAAGUGCAUGAGAAAAAAAUCAAAACAAUUUACAACUGAUGAGAUUGCACAUUACUCUUUUUUCUGAUUUAUAUGAAGCUUCAGUGCAAUCAUCUUGUCAAUUCUUUGUGAGACAACUAUAGAUAACAGUACCCCCAAAAAGGCACUUGCAGGGUGCUAAGCUUAAACUGGGACUGAACCGUUGGUAUCAAUGCAUAAGGUACAAAACAUACUGAUCAUCCACAGCAUCUAAUAAUGGCUUGGAGAUGAAAGAGUUAAGUAUAUAAUAAUCUGAAAAUUAUAUUUGUUAAUUUUUGUUAAUUGUUAAGUUUAUUUAAAAAUUGAGAUUAUUAUCAUUAUUAAAUUAUUUAUAAUUAUGCUAGUUAAUUCUUUUAAGUAAAUUAUUAAAAAUGAUUCCUUUGAAUAAUUUUCAGAAUUUAUUUAUAUAAUUUUCAUAUAAAUUUUUUCCAUUAAGUUGUUUUAUAUUUUUAGCAAACGUUGGACUUCUCGUUUGAAUGUUUUAUAGACAUUAUCUUCAACUCUUCGCCUCCUCAAACGCCAAAAUACAAACUCAGCCACUGCAUAUAACCACUGCAGAACAUUAUCAAAAGCAAUAAAUAUGUGAGGAUUUGUAGACAUUAUGAAAAUAAAGUGACAUUUACUAAGUACCAACCACUCUUUUUCCCAUCAGUUUGGUCUCCUCCAAAAGUUCUAGCCAGUCCAAAACCUGAAAUUUUUGGAUUCAUAUCACUACCAAUCACAACGUUACUAGCUUUGAGAUCUCUAUAAAUAAAAAAAAACUUUCGAUUUGCUAGCUUUACUAUUAACAAAGUAAUUUUUUUUUUGUUUAUUUAGCAAAGGAACGAAAUAAGCAUAAUUAUGAAGGAUAUAUCAAAGUUACCAUUCAACUUUGCACGACCUCUGUAAAGGAAAUGACUGACGCUAAACGGCCCGAAAAGCACAACACAGUGGUGUUGCAAUUAAUGCAGGAAGUUUUAUCCUAGGCUUAUCUUUCAAUUUUGUAUGAUGAAAUUCGAUAAAGAAAAGCAUACAUGAAGAAACACAAAAAAAGCUGCGAAAUCAAGAAAAAAUGUAGACUCAUACCUGAUUCUGAAGCAGACACUUUAACAUAUAGAUCCUGCCCUUUUGAUUGAAAUUGUUUGUAAUCAAUCAAAUGAUGAAACCAAAGGUCCCAACCACUGCCUCUUCCUCUAUUAUCUGAACUAGUGUAUGCCAUAUAGGAAUAGUUCUGUAGAUACUUAACCCUGCAUCCCUUGAGAUUCAUAGUUUUAGUCACCCAAGAAUGUGUAGCAUCUGGCAUUUUCAAAUUUCUUAAAUCUGAUAAAUCCAUCUCUGCUUUGGCAGUUGAAUGGCUUAUUGUGCUUACACCCUUGGGACCAGUCUUAUGAGUUCUAUCCUUCAGGGAAUUCAGGCUUAAACAUCAUCUUUCAGGGAAUUAAAGCUUGAAUCCUUUAAAAAGUGGAAGCUGAGUACCAUCACAAUUCCCUUUUGAACCACAAAGUCCAUAUCUGUCAAAGUAGUCUCUCGGAGCAAAUGAGGAAAGCAUCCAAGCUUGCUUUCUGCAUUUCAUGUGUAGUUAUGUUAUCAAUUAUUUCCAUUUGAGACACUAUGGAUGGUUGACACAUAAAAUAGAAAGACCAGGCUGGUCGAUCAUCCGUUGCUUUUAUAAGAUGAUGUGGUUGACUGACUUUUGAUGAAUGAAGUAUACACAAAGUGCAGCAGAAAACAAAUUAUAAACGUUGAGGUUCCAGAUAAUUCGUAUUUCUCAAUAAUAUGAAGCUUAUUCGUCUAAGCAUAAUAUAUAUAUUUAGAGUAACCACACUAAUCAUAUCAACUUAAACUUACUCAUAAUUUGCAUGCAACAUAAAAUCACCAAAUCUUAUAUAGAUAAUUUAAACUAUUAAUCUUGUUUAAUUAUAUAUGUAUUCAUCAUUUGAAGUGCUUUAAAAUAUUAAUCAUGAUUAAUUUCAAUAUCUUGGUAUUGAUACAUCACUUCCCAAAUAUGCUUUCCUUUUUUCUUUUUUUCCAUAUAUAGACACUCUUUAAUUAGGAGAUUGUAGCCAGCUAGAUACCAUUGUUGCCAGUCCAAGAGGUGACACUUUGGAGGUUGAAUAGCAUUUUAUUUUCGGGUUUUUUAGUCUUGAGAUGAGUGGCAACAUUAAUUCCUUUGGAUCUGUUGAAUUAGCUUUUGUAUAUAAAAGAAGGUAUCCCUCCUCAAACAUGGCAGAUCCCCUUUCAAACCCAUUAUUUUAAAGAAAAGAAAAUGCUAAUUUAAUAGAAUAGUUGCCAACUAGGGACAAGCUCCAUUGAUGUGACAUUAAUUUUGGUAUAUUCUAACACUUGUUGACUAGAUUCAAUUGGACAGGAUUUUUAAUUUGGAUGAAAUUUAAGGGUAGUGAUUAAACAAUGGAAGUGACAUUGGAGGUUCUAAGUCCCUUUCACCUAAGGGAGAAAUGAGUUUGUUCAAUUGACACAGCUUUGGUACAUACAGAAAGUAAGCUAAUACCAUAGCCAUAUUUCUCAGGUGACUUGCAACAAAUUUGAGACUGAAGUAUGGCAAAAUAUUGGGUAUUUGUAUAAAUUACAAUACAAAUAAAGAAAAAAAAUGAAAGAGACUAAAUAGAAAGGGGAAGUGGAAAGGUCCCCAAAAUCAAUUAAUUGCAAGUGGAAGGAGCAAAGCCCAACUUUGUUGGCAACAAGGUCAUGUUCCCGCAGAUGAUUUUGUUGCAGGGUGUUGUAAAUGAUAUUUACUUCCAGGCUCUGUCUUUUGGCAAAUAGAAGCUGAUAAUGGUUCUCUGGAUCAAGCUCAAAUAUAGCUCCAUCUUCAAUAUGAAUUGCAAAUCCUGGCACUGAUGAGAAAAUCAAGCCUUGUUAUUGCUUUUAAUAAAAGCAAAUAAAAUUUGAAGGGUGUUCAGUUGGGCAAUUACUAGUUCCCAAGUAACAGUUUUAACUGCUACUUUCUUUUACCAAAUUCCCAAGAAACUAUUCUUAGAGCUUCUAGGACUAAGGAACAGACUGGGAGGAGGUGAAGAUAUCGAUUCCAUCAGUAAAACAGUGUUGGUGAACAUGAAAGACAGAAUGUCUUUUUGUUUCAAAUUUCAGAGCUUGUAAGAACUCAUAGAAAAACUUUUCAGUUUGGCAGAUUUUAGAGAGCAAACAUGUUUAAACUGAUGAUCGUUGACUAGUAUGCAAGUCUUCCUUGAAAAGACCAAACUUUUCAGUUUGCGGAGAACUCUUAUUUCUAAUUUUUAUGAUGCUUCAGUGUAGUCAUCUUGUAUUGUCUCUGCGAAUCAUAUAUAUAUACAUAUGACCCCCAAGCAGGCACUUGCAGGGCAUUAAGCUCAAACUGGGACUAAACCACUGGUAUCAAAGCAUAAGAGACAUAAACAUACUGGUCGAUAACUUUUAAUAAUGGCUUGGAGAUGAAAGAGCUAAGUAUACAGUUUGUCAAUUAUCGAGCAUCUAGUACUGACAGAGUUAUUUCAUUUGUGGAAGAAGAUACAUGCUUGUCUGAUGAAGAAUCUUCUUCAAGUGGAUUUUUUUAAAACAAAAUACCAGCUUGUUUGGGGUGUGGCAAUUCAGUUUCACUUCCCAACAUCAGAAUCACAAAUGACGUACUUGGCCUCUCCUCAGGAUGCUGUUGUAAACUUAAAAGACUGAUAAUGGAAGUAUUGUAUCACUUCUGAUAGAUUGCAAAGACUCUCCUAAGCAUUCUUCAACAGGUUUUAAAGGACUGUCUUAUUUCCAUAAUCUCCAUGCCUGCAGCAAAUUGAAACCCUUUUAGGUUUUAUCAAUCCAAGAUAAGCAACAAAAAAUUGAUUAUAAAAAUAUCUGCUGAAACUGACAUGUUCAACAAGGUUGCCGCUCUGUGAUGGAUGGUAAAGCCCUCUAUAUUUUCUUCCCACUUAUUAUCUCCAGCAAUAAUAUACCAAAGCUAAAGAGAUCUGAUUUUACUGAAAGCAGUCCAACAAUAGCAUAUUCAGUGCCAUAUAACCUCUGCAGAACAUUAUCAAGAGAAAUAACUAUCUGAGCAUAUGUAGACAUUAUGAAAAUAAAGUGACACUUACUAAGUUCCAACCACUCUUGCAGUGUUCCCUUCAGUUUGGUUUCCUCCAAAGUUCUAAGCAAUCCAAAAUCUGAAAUUUUUGGAUUCAUCUCACUAUCAAGCAGAACGUUACUAGCUUUGACAUCUCUAUGAAUGAAAAAAAACAUAUUCAAAUGAAAUGGCAAAGAAUCUAAUUAACUCUUUUGAAGAAACUGUGUUUGGAUUUGUUAGCAAAGGAACAGAAUAAGCAUAUUUGUGAAGGAUAUAUCAAAGUUACCAUUCAACUUUGCACGACCUCUGUGAAGGAAAUGACUGACAGUAAACAGCCCGAAAAGCACAACACAGUGGCGUUGCAAUUAAUGCAGGAAGUUUUAUCCUAGGCUUAUCUUUCAAUUCUGUAUGAUGAACUUUGAUAAAGAAAAGCAUACAUGAACAAAAACAAAAAAAGCAGCGAAAACAAGAGAAAAUGUAGACUCAUACCUGAUUCUGAAGCAGACAUUAUUAACAUAUAAGUCCUGCUCUUUUGAUUGAAAUUGUCUAUAAUCAAUCAGAUGAUGAAACCAAAGGGCCCAAACACUACCUCUUCCUCUGUUAUCUGAACUAGUGUAUGCCAUAAGGGAAUAGUUCUGUAGAUACUUAGCCUUGCAUCCCUUGAGUUUCAUAGCUUUAGUCACCUAAGAAAGUGUAGCAUCUGGCAUUUUCAAAUCUUUUAAAUCUGAUAAAUCCAUAUCUGCUUUGGCAGUUGAAUGGCUUAUUCUGUGCUUACACCCUUGGGGUCAGUCUGAUGAGUUCUAUCUUUCAGGGAAUUCAGGCUUAAACAUCAGCUUUCAGGGAAUCAAGGCUUGAAUCCUUUAAAAAGUGGAAGCUGAGUACCAUCACGAUGCCCUUUUGAACCACAAAGUCCAUAUCUGUCAAAAUAGUCUCUUGGAGCAAAUGAGAAAAGCAUCCAAGCUUACUUUCUGCAUUUCAUGUGUAGUCCUGUGAUCAAUGAUUUCUAUUUGAGACACUUAGGAUGGUUGACAUAUAAAAUACAAAUACCAGGUGGGUAGAUCAUGCGUUGUUUUUAUAAGAUGAUGUGAUUGACUGACUUUUGAUAAAUGAAGUAUACAGAAAGUGCAGCAGAAAACAAAUUAUAAACAUUGAGGUUCCAGAUAAUUUAUAUUAUUUAAUGAUUUGAAGCUUAUUCCUCUAAUCAUUCUCUUCACUGGACAAACAUAACUUCAAUGACUUACUUGCAUUAAAUGAUUUCCAAUUCAUGAACCAUUUGAGACCAGUGUGGAUGUGUUGUCUCACAUCUGAUAGGUUGCAGGAUAGUCCUAAGAAUUGAUCACCAAGUUCAACAGGGGUGCCUUCGUUCCUCCCAUUAUCUCCAAGCCUGCAGCAAAUUGAAAACCUUUUAGUCAUUUUGUUAUAUCUUUCAACAUUUUAAUUCAUAAUAAUCAAAGAAUUUUUGAAACAUGCGAGUGAAAAUGAAAAUAAAGGAAACGGGUGGGAAGGUGUAAUAGGAGGGGAUGUAGGAAAUGUCACAUAGCAAUUGGCGGAGAAAUGCAGAUUGAAGGGUGUUGAGUUGGAGAUUUAUUUUUAUAUUAAAAAAUAAAAAAUUAAAGACUUGGUUUUAUUUUGAUAUUAAAAAAGAGUAAUUAUUUAGCAAAUGAGAAAUUCGGAGAUAAAAAUAAACUCACAAUGUUUGUUUGCAGUUUUUAAUAAGAAGCAAGAGCCUUGCAACCACAUUUAAUCAAACACCUCUUCUACAAUUCAGACAUAAAGCUAGCCUUGUACCAUCCAAAAAAUAUUCAACAAAGGGAGAAAGGACAUCCUUAGCAUCAGGCUGAUCCCAUUCCACUGAUUCCCACCAUUCUCUCGGCCAUACUGUGAUUCCUUUUAGAGAAGGAGGAGGAGAUGGUUUCCCAUUUUCAACAAGGGGAAGAGACAAAGGGAUCCUCUUUACCGCUCUACACCCCGAUAUGACAAGAUGUUGGAGAGAAUCUGCAGGAAUCAUAAGUCCACCGCUACAAAUGCUUUUCAAUUUUGGUAAGUUAAUCAAGAAUAAUGAUUUUAAUUUGGGAAGAAUAAAUGUUGUUCCUUCUUCUUUCUGAUUUUCUUCUGAUGCUAUUAUUUCCUCCAUUUCUUCACAACCUCGGACAUAAAUUUCCUCUAAGUUUUGGAGGCUCUUCAACGGCUCGAUUGUAAGCAACUUCUUCACCCUCGAACAACCAAUCACAUAUAAUUGUUUAAGAGAAGAGAAGGCAGGUGGUGUUGGAGCAUGAGAGGUAGAUUCAAAUUCAACCGCUACUCCUACUUCUACUCCUACUCUCACAACUUCACGCAAGUUGCGUAAGAAACAUAGUUGUAACACCUCAAUGUUGUGAAGUGCGUCGCAAGACGAUAAUGACAAGUCAACCACACACUCUAUCCCAGAACACUUCCUAAUUUGACAUAACUUCAAGUCAGGUGCCUUAUGAAACAAAGGAAUAUUGCUUAAACAUUUGAAAUCAUUACACUCCUCAAUAAGUAAAGGGUGAAGGUCAUUUGGGAGCACUAUAUCAUCACACCUCUCUAUCUCCAAAUUUCUAAAUUCAACCUUUUUCUUAAUUUCUUUGAAAUCUGGGAAUCCCCGAUAUAAAUACCCUUAAGUGGUCCCACUUGAAAAAAGAAAGAUGGAGGCCAUUUACCUUGUGCAGACUUUACAUAUUUCUUAAACUCUUGCAUGUUGCGAAAUGAACAUGAAACCCACUCAAGGUUCCUCAAUUUGCCCACUUCUUCCCCUCUUAAAUGUAACUCUCCCAGCAAGCAUUGCAGAUGAGAAAUCUUCACUAAUAUUCCUAUUGGUAGCUCCUUUAGAUGCCUUGACCUUAGACGAAAAUAUCUAAGGUUUUGUAACAUUUCUAUACCAUGAGGAAGCUCUUCAAUUCCUGUACCAUAAAGGUCCAACUUUCUCAGUGCUCUGAGCUCUGCUAAUGAAGGCACAUAUUUUAACCUGCCACAACUAGCAAGUAUCAAUGCAUCGAGGUUUUUCAAGUUAGAGAUGGAAUUGGGUAGAUCCUCCAAGUAAUAAUUACUAUAAAGAUUUAGAACUUUUAGUCUAGGCAUGUGCUUAAAGAAAGAUUCAGGAAUACUUUUUAAGCCACAUUGUUGCAAAAUCAAAGUUGACAAAUGAGGACACUCAGGUGAUAUGUGAGGAGGGAUUUCUAUUAAUUUUGAAUUUUGCAUCAAAGAAACCUUCUCAACACUCACUGUCCAUUCUUGCUCACUUGGGAAUUCUUUCAAUUGCAUACCUGCUUUUACCAUGAACUGAUGACCUUUAAUAUACAACGCCAUGUCCCUCAAAACAUCAUGCAUCUUAACUCCUUCUUUGCGACUCCUAGUUGUAGCCCUCUCUAGCAAGCAAUUAUUUUCAAGCUUAUUUAAAAUGCUAUGGCCUCUGUCAUGCAUUUCUUGUCUAGUCCUUAAGCCAUCAAGGAGUCCUUCAUCUAUCCAAUUUUCAAUUAAUUCAACUUCUCCAAUCACAAAAUCUUCAGAAUACAAGGAGCAAUAUAAGAAACAAUUUUGAAUUUUUGGAUCUUUCAAAUAGUCAUAACUGAACUUCAAACGCUCAAAUAUUUCAACAUCCGAUCCUUUCACACUUUUCACACGCUCUUUUAAUUCCAUUAAUGCAUUUCUCCACUCACAAAUAUCAUUUACCCCCUUCAUGCUUCCAGCUAUUGUGACAAUGCUAAGUGGUAAACCACCACAUUGCUCAACAAUUUUGUUGACAAUGUCUUUUAAAUUUUGAUCUUGUACAACACCAUGCCCCACACGAUCUAAGAAUAAGUUCAUGGACUCUGUCUUUGAAAGCGGUUGCACUUUGACCACCUUACAAUCCAUAGAUUGGCAGACCUCAAUCAAUCUACUAGUGAGUACAACUUUCCUCCCCAUACCUAUUGUUGGUUCAGGGAUACCCACAUCCAAUAGAGAAAACCGUUUCCAAACAUCGUCUAAGAUCAACACAUAUCUUUUUCCCUCCAAAAUAUCUUUUAAUGUUGAUGCUCUUUGCAGUUCAUCAUAUUUUGGAAGAGACUCUUUCAAAGAAUCUGCAAUAUCUUUUUGCAAUCUAAAAAUAUUCAAUUCUUUUGAUACAGUGAUCCAUAUCACUUGAUCAAACUUCUCACUUUCCUUUAACAAUCGAUUGUUGAUAUGCUUCAUGAUAGUAGUUUUCCCUAUACCACCCAUUCCACAUACUCCAAUCAUUCCAACCUUAUUACCCAUCAAAUACUCCCAAAUUUGUUCUUUUACAUCGAUUUCACCUUCUAGAUUUGGUGUUGGUAACAUCACCCCGGUGGUUGGAGGCCCAUCAACUGCCACAUUGUUAGGGAAACUACCGUUUUGGUGAAUUUCCUUUACCUCUUCAAUCAUUCGGCAAACAAAUUUUCCAAGACGACCACGUAAGAAGUAUGAAACAACAUGGAACUUGGUUUCAAUCUCUUCCAUUUCAGUGUUAACCUUUUCUACAGCUUUAAACCAGUACUCCACUUCUUCCCUCACCACUUUUCUGUGACGAAGCUCCUCUUCCUUUCUUGAUAUGAGGUCUCUCUUUCGGAUGUUUAAAACAUUCACUUUUUCUCGAAGAUCAUUCAUAUGUUCUUCAAGUUUUCGGUGAUGGUCAAUGUAUGUACAGGUUGGACCACCAAAGCACUUUAUCACUUCAAAAAUUUGCCCUAUAAGCUCCAUAUAAGCUAUUCCCUAGAGAUUAAACCAAGAUAUAUUAGAUCUCCAUAUGACAUAAGCUACUCCCUCCCUAAACUACAAUUCUAUAUUUUUCAUAUAAUACAGAAUAUGUUAGAAAAAAAUCUUACUAAUUAAAAUUUUUUUACCAAUUCUUCUUAAGAAAAAACAUAAUAUUUUUGAAAACAUUAUAAAAAACAAGAAGUUUUUGUUUCCGUCACUUAAUUACUAUAAUUAUUUUCCACCUAAUUAAGAGAAAAGAAGCAUGACAUAGACCAAUGAACAAAAAUAAUUAUGUGAAAGGAAAGAUGAUGAACCUAUGUUAUGAAUCUAAAACAUGAAUCCAAAUCAAUAUUAAACAAUUUAAUUUAUCUAGUCAAGUGAGGCAGAUGAGCUGGUACUUCUUCUAUUCUUAGAGUUUCUUGAUUAAGUUUGUAAAAGCAGAUCUCCUUGCAAAAAAUUGUCAAGAAAAUAGCAUCAAGCAGAUCUCCUUCCAAAAUAUCCUCUAUGAGAAGAAAAUGAGUAAUGAAGCACAUGAAUUAUUGAAAAGUGGGCAAGAUUAAUAUUUAUGUAAGAAACUAAAAUAAAUGCCCAAUUUGUGUCUUAAUAUUUAUAUAAAACUUAUGAUAAGAUGAAUUUGUGUUAUAAUUUAAGAUUUCGAUUAAUUAAUGUUAUCAAAGAUAAAACUAAAUCAUAAGUAUAGACAACCUACUUAAUUCCGUGAGGCAGGGAAGUGAUACUUCUAUCUUCAGAAGGCCCUUAAUAAAUUUGAGAAACAAGCCCAAUCAAGAAAAAUAGCAAUAACAAAUAGAUUAUCUCCUUGCGAAAAAGAAAAUCCUGAUCCUCCGAGAGAAGAGAAUUAUUGAAUUAUGAAGCAGAAAAGAAUUAAAGUCGGCAACUCAAUGCAAAGUUGAAUUAUUUUCAACCUAAUUAGGCAAAAAAGGAAAAAGAAUAGAAGCAUAAAAUAAAGAGAAAGACCCAAAAGAAAGUUUUAUGGAGUUUGUUGAAAGAUGAAUUUAUGGCAGAAGGUAAGAUUCAGAGAUGGUACCAAAGAUGAAAAAUAUAAGCGUAGAUACUUCAGCUUGUUGAUAUCACUAAGCAGAUCUCCUUGCAAAUUCCUGUGUAAUGAGAAGAGAAGGAAUUAUGAAGCAAAUAAGUCAAUGCAAGUCAUGACAUUGGUUUCGGGGUCACUUCCCUUAAAGCUGCUUUGAAAUAAAGAAAAUAUAAAUAAAAUAAAAGAUGAUGAAGUGAGCCUGAACACUCGUUCAUUUUUCUUAAAGAAACAAUAAUCUAAGUUAGGACAAAAAGGAAGCAUCCGAGAAGGAUCCUGCGUAAAUUUUUACCAUUAAAUUACUUUGUGAAAAGACAAAGUUAGGUGCGAAUUGAGCACAAGGAAAGAUGAAGCAAUUAAAAAUUCAUCCAUUGUGUUAGUGGCGAAAUAAAAUAAUGAAAAGUUAGAGAAAUAGGGAGUCAUGAUUAGUGACUUGUGGGGUAGUAAUUGGAUUCCCCUUCUAGGUGUUUUGUGUUAUGCCAUAAACUUAUUACAUUAAUCUGAAUUUAUAAUUUAUAAAGAGAAUUAUUUCAACCUGAAAACUGAAAAAUAAGUAUCCCAAUCUGCAAUAGAAUGAUUUGACUAUGCACAGAAUGUGCAUAAGCUAUGAUCUACUGAAUGUAGUCCAUUUUAUAAGGGGACAAGAAACGAAUUGCCCUGUUCUUUGAUGGAGCUUCAGCAUCAUGCUUCAACCAGAAGUUUUCUACUGAGUUAACCGGAUUGUUAGUUCCUUGAUUGAUUUUCUAGUUAAUGAGCCAUAUCAGAUUACUUAGACUUGAGAAAUAGAAUUUCAACUUCUAAGGUUCUAAAUGUGACUAGUUCACAAAAUAUAUAGAAAUAUAAGGUACAAGAAGAUGAUGAUGAAGAUCAUUAAGUAAAGAUAUUGAUGAAGUGUGACGGUCAUUUCAUUGUUGAAGAUGAUUCAUGGCCGCCCCGUGGAACUGCUUCAAAAUAGUUCUUUUCAGAUAGUCCUAAAUAAUUGCUGCUGCACACACAACAGACAAAUGUGGAUGCAGCUUAUCACUUCUGAUAGAGCAGAGGACUCCCCUAAGAAUAUGGAUCAUCUGCUAGUUCAAAUUGUCUUGACUCUUUCCACAAUCUCCAUUCCUGAUACAUAUCAAAACCAUUUUGUCAUUUAUUAGUUUGAAAACUUAAUUAGUUAAAUGAUAAUACAUUGCACAACACUUACAUGUCCAACAAGGCUCAACAUUGGUUGAUAAAACCUUCUAUUCUUCUCUCCACAUAUUAUCUCCAGCAAUAGCCAAAUAUAGUACCCAUCAACAAGUGGGUUAAUUUAUCCUUACCCCAUCAACCUUAAGUUAAGCUUUUGUUUUGGUCUGAUAGUUUAGGUGCACAAUCGAUCAAGAAGUGGAAUUUUUUCUGUCAAUAGCAAAAAUUAAAAUCAGAAACUGUUUUUUGACCAAGAAAAGAAGCAAAUAAUUGAAAUUUUGUAGUUUUAAGAAGGAAGCAAGACGAUUACCAGACGAGAAGCUGUGUUCAGCCAAAUGAAAAGGCAAUAGCAUUUCCUUAGCAUUAGGAUCAUCCCAUUCCAGUGAUUCCCACCAUUCUUCUGGAUAUAAAACGAUUUGCUCAACAGGAGGAGUGGGAGGAGAUGGUAGUCCAUUUUCAAGCAGGGGAAGAGAUAAGGGGAUCCUUUUUAACUUCGGACAUUCUAUUACCUCAAGAUAUUGACGAGAGUUUGUUGGAAUCAUAAGUCCAAAAACCACAAAUGCUUUUCUGCUCUGGUAAUUUCAACAAGGAAAGUUUCCUUAAUUUGGGAAGAAUAAAUGUUAUGUGGUAAUUGCCCUUCCUGCCUCAAUUUCCUCCAACUUUUGAAAACCCUACAGCAGCUUAAUUGAACACAACUUCUUCAUACUCGAACAGUUUCUCAAGCAAAACCUUUUGAGAGAAGAGAAAAUGGGAGGUGGUGUUGGGAUGUGAGAUGGAGAUACACAUAGAUUCAUGGUUUUCAUGAAUAAGAUAAAAAUGUUAUGAUCACCAUUUAAACAUAAUAUAUAUAUUAUAUAUAAUAUAUAUAUAUAUUAGAGUAAUCACACUAAUCAUAUCAAAUUAAACUUAUACUCAUAAUUUGCGUGCAACAUCAAAUCACCAAAUCUUAUACAGAUAAUUUAAACUAUUAAUCUUGUUUAAUUAUAUAUGUAUUCAUCAUUUGAAGGGCUUUGUAAAUUUAUAAAGUAAACAACAAUAAGCAAUAAUUAUGUUUAUUUUCAAUAUCUUGGUAUUGAUACAUCACUUCCCAAAUAUGCUUUCCUUUUCUUUUUCAUACAUAGACAUUGUCUUGUUUGGAGAUUGUAGCUAGCUAGAUACCAUUAUUGCCAGUCCAAGAGGUGACACUUUGGAGAUUGAAUAGAAUUUAAUUUUCAGGUGUUUUGGUCUUGAGAUGAGUGUCAACAUUAAUUCCUUUGGAUCUCUUGAAUUAGCUUUUGUAAAUAAAAGAAGGUAUCCCUCCUCAAACAUGGAAAAUCCCCUUUCAAACCUAUAAUUUUAAAGAAAGAAAAUCCUAAUUUAAUAGAUUAGUUGCCAACUAGGGACAAGCUCCGUUGAUGUGACAUUAAUUUUGGUAUAUUCUAACACUUGUUGACUAGAUUCAAUUGGAUAGGAUUUUUAAUUUGGGUGAAAUUUACGGGUACUGAUUAAACAAUGGAAGUGACAUUGGAGGUUCUAAGUCCCUUUCACCUAAGAGAGAAAUGAGUUUGUUCAAUUGACACAGCUUUGGUACAAACAGAAAGUAAGCUAAUACCAUAUCCAUAUUUCUCAUGUGACUUGCAACAAAUUUAAGACUGAAGUAUGGCAAAAUAUUGGGUAUUUGUAUAAAUUACAAUACAGAUAAAGAAAAAAAAAAAAGAAAGAGACUAAAUAGAAAGGGGAAGUGGAAAGAUCCCCAAAAUCAAUUAGUUGCAAGUGGAAGGAGCAAAGCCCAACUUUGUUGGCAACAAGGUCAUGUUCCCACAGAUGAUUUUGUUGCAGAGUGUUGUCAAUAAUAUUUACUUCCAAGCUGUCUUUUGGUAAAUAGAAGCUGAUAAUGGUUAUCUGGAUCAAGCUCAAAUAUAGCUCCAUCUUCAAAAAUGAAUUGCAAAUCUUGACACUGAUGAGAAAAUCAAGCCUUUUUAUUGCUUUUAAUAAAAGCGUAUAAAAUUUGAAGGGUGCUCAGUUGGGGAAUUACUAGUUCCCAAGUAAUAGUUUUAACUGCUACUUUCUUGUACCAAAUUCCCAAGAAACGAUUCUUAGAGCUUCCAGGACAAAGAAACCAAGCUUAAGGAUUCCAUCCAUCACUAACAGACUGGGAGGAGGUGGAGAUAUCGAUUCCAUCAGCAAUACUUAAAAACAAUAUUAGCAAAAUGGUGUUGGUGAACAUGAAAGACAGAAUGUCUAUUUGUCUCAACUUUCAGAGCUUGUAAAACUUAUAGAAAAACUUUUCAGUUUGGCAGAUUUUAGAGAGCAAACAUAUUUAAACUGAUGGUCGUUGACUAGUAUGCAAGUCUUCCUUGAAAAGACCAAACUUUUCAGGUUGCACAGAAUUCUUAUUUCUGAUUUUUAUGAGGCUUCAGUGUAGUCAUCUUGUAUUGUCUCUGUGAAUUGUAUAUACAUAUUAUACCCCCAAGUGGGCACUUGCAGGGUGCUAAGCUCAAACUGGGACUAAACCACUGGUAUCAAAGCAUAAGGGACAUAAACAUACGGAUCGAUAGCCUAUAAUAAUGGCUUGGAGAUGAAAGAGCUUAAGUAUACAGUUUAUCAAUUAUCGAGCAUCUAGUACUGACAGAGUUAUUUCAUUUGUGGAAGAAGAUACAUGCUUGUCUGAUGAAGAAUCUUCUUCAAGUGGACUUUUCUUAGACAAAAUACCAGGUUGUUUGGGGUGUGGCAAUUCAGUUUCACUUCCCAACAUCAGAAUCACAAAUGACAUACGUGGCCUCUCCUCAGGGAUUUUGUCAUUUAUCAGUUAGAAAUGUUGAAAAUCUCAAGGAUUUUGUUAUAUUUGCAGACCAUUAUCUGUUAAAAUGAUAAAGAUAAAACGAGAGAGAAAAUAUAAUUGAACACAAAGUCUCCCUACAGUCUUUUCAUUCAACAAUAACACUUAUAAAUACAUUUACAGGAGAGAGAAGACAACAAUAAAAUAAAACAACACGUAAAGUAAAAUAACUGCACAAUAUCCAUAUCUUACAUAAUCACCUACUUUACAAUACAAACCCACUACCUAACAUAACAAUAACUGACUCAACAUGACAAUAAUUGUAAAAGAGAAAAUAAACUGAUAUUAACUAAUAAAUUAAAAAAUUGUUGAGAAUAACUGAAUCUGAUUCUUCAAGUCAAAUCUCAUUCUUCAACAAAACUUGAUUAGUUAAAUGAUAAUACAUUUCACAACACUUUUAUGUCCAACGAGGCUCAACACUUUUGUCUGGUUGAUAAAAGCUUCUAUUUUACCUUCCACAAAUUAUCUCCAGCAAUAAUAUACCAAAGCUAAAUACACUACCCAUCAAGAAGUGGGUUAAAUUAUCCUUAACCCAUCAACAUUAAGUUAAGCCUUUGUUUUGGUCUGAUAGUUUAGGUGCGCAAUCGAUCAAGAGGUAGAAUUUUUUCUGUCAAUAAUAAAAAUUAAAAUCAGAAACUAUUUUUUGACAAAAAACAGAAGCUAAUAAUUGAAAUUUUGUAGUUUUAAGAAGGAAGCAAGACGAUUACUAGACGAGAAGCUGUGUACAGCCAAAUGAAAAGGCAAAAGCAUUUCCCUAACAUUAGGAUCAUCCCAUUCCACUGAUUCCCACCAAGUAAUUGUUUGGCCCUUGAUCCAAUAUAGACUUGGUGUAUUCUACUGAGAUUUGUAAAUUUAUUUUCUUAAAUUGAAAGCACUGUUGUGAAGAUUUUUCCCUUUCGAAAUGAUUGGUUUUUCAAUGUCAGACAAAUUAAGAAUACACCAUACUUUAGAAAUGGAAACAUAUAUAAACUACUUAUUAAAUUACUACAACAUCAAGCAAAUUACUGUAAUGAACAAGUGAUAAUGAAGUCAAUAUAAUCCAAGAAGAUAGAUUGAAGGGAGUUCAGUUGGCUAAUUGAUGCAGAGAAUAUUUGGAGCAGACUGGGUUAAUCCUUGUCCAAAACUCCUUGAAAGCCUCUUCAUAGCAAUUUCCUGUGACCAUUUACUAAGAUAGAUUGAAAGACCGCCUGCAAAUAGGAGAGAAGAAAAUGUUGAUGUAACGACCCAAGUCCAAUCACCGGCCCAGCAACUUUUCGAACCUAAACCAAUCACUGGCCUAGCAACUUUUCGAACCUAAACCACAUGGCCCUUAAAAGCUUAAGCUUAAGUUACUAGUAGUGAUGGACUUGGAUUGUUAUAUAGGUAUUAACAAUCAUAUUCAUAUUAGACGUGAGAUUUGAGGUAUCACAAUCCGACCCAUUCAGAUCCUUGAUGUCAUCAUCAAGACCACACAUCACAUUCACGAGACCAAGAUCUCAUUAGAGCAAUGUGAAAGCUCACAUCGGACUAGCGCAAGCUCUUAUACCAUUUGUAAUGACCCAAGUCCAAUCAUUGGCCCAGCAGCUUUUCGGACCUAAACCACAUGUACCUCAAAAGUUGAAACUCAAGUUACUAGUAAUGAUGGACUUAGAUUGUUAUAUAAGUUUUAACAAUCAUAUUUAUAUCAGAUGUGGGAUGUGAGGUAUCACAAUGAACUUGAGUUUAAGUUUUUGAUGACCAUGUGGUUUAAGUCUAAAAAGCUGUUGGGCCAGUGAUUGGAUUUGAGUCAUUACAAAUGGUAUCAGAGCCUACGCCAGUCCGAUGUGAGUUUUCACAUUGCUCUUAUGAGAUCUUAUUCUCGUGGAUGUGAUGUAUGGCCUUGAUGAGAACAUCAAAGAUUUGAGUUGGUGGGAUUGUGAUAUCUCACAUCCCACAUCUGAUAUGAAUGUGAUUGUUAAAACCUAUAUAACAAUUCGAGUCUAUCACUACUAGUAACUUGAGCUUAACUUUUUAAGGACCAUGUGGUUUAGGUCCUAAAAGCUAUUGGGCCAAUGAUUGGACUUGGGUUGUUACAGUUGAUUAACAUCAACAAGUACAUCCCCUAGAUAAAUGAAUAAAAAUAAACACAGAAUGUGGAUAAAAAUAAACUGAGACUAUUUGCAGUUUUAAGAAAAAACGUUGAGGACUUUACCGAUGUGAACCGUCGAGCCACAUUUAAUGGAGUAGAUUUUCUCCAUCUCAUUCUACCAAAUAAAAACAAAGGGAGAAAAGACAUGCUUAGCAUCAAGGUGAUCCCAUUGCACUGAUUCCCACCAUUCACUCUGGCUUACAUUGAUUUCUUCUAGAAAAGGAAGAGGACAUGGUUGCCCAUUUUCAAAAAGGGCAAGACACAAAGGGAUCCUCUUUAGAUUUGGACAUUUCCAUAUUCGAAGAUUUCGGAGAGAAUCUGUAGGAAUCACAACUCCACCACUGUAAAUGCUUUUCAAUUUUGGUAAGUAGAUCAUCCAUAAUGAUUUUAAUUUAAGCAGAAUGAAUGUUGUUCUUUCUCCUUUACGAUUUUCUUCUUAUUCUGAUGCUAUUAUUUCCUCUAUUUCUUUAUAGUCUUCAACUUUAAUUUCCUGUAAGUUUUAGAGACCUUGCAACAACUCAAUUGGGAACAACUUCUUCAUCUUCCAACACAAAUCUAGAUGCAAUAAUUUAAGAGAAAAGAAGAUGGUAGGUGGGGUUAGAGGAGGAGAGGUAGAACCAAAUUCAAGCGCUACUCUUACUCUCACAUGUUCAUGCAAGUUCCACAAUGACUUAAGGAAUAUCUUCUUAAUGUCAUCAAGUGUGUUGCAAGGCGACAAUGACAAGUCAACCACACACGCCGUCCCUUUACACUCCUCAAUUUAACAUAUCUUCAAGUUAGUUGCCUUACGAAACAAAGGAAUAUUGCUUAAACAUUUGAAAUCAUUACACUUCCCAAUACGUAAAGUAUGAAGGCCAUUUGGGACUAGUGUAUCUUCUAUUUUCUCCAUCUCACAAUGCAUGAAUGUUAUCUGCUUUUCAAGUUUCUCUAAAUUUUGGACAGGUAGACUAUGUAAAACCUCAGAUGAUCCUACUUCAGGAUAAAGAUUUUUAGGCCAUUUACCUUGUAUAGACUUUGCAUAUCUUGAACUCUUACAAGUCACAAAAUGAACAUGAAAGAAUCUCAAGCUUCAUCAAUUUGCCUUCUUCUUCUCCCAUUAAAUGCGGCCCUACUAUUAAGCAUUGGAGAUGAGACAUCAUCAGCAAUAUUCCUACAGGCAGCUCUUUUAUAUUAGAUGACCAUAGACGGAGAUAUCUAAGGAUUUCUAACUUUUUUAUUCCAUGAGGAGCCUCUUCAAUUCCCAUAUACAAAAGGUCCAACUUUUUAAUGCUCUAAGCUUUGCCGAGGAAGGCACACAUUUUAAUAUGUAACAACAAAAAAGUAUCAAUGCAUUAAGAUUUUUCAAGUUACAGAUGGAAUUGGGUAGAUCUACAAUCUGAGUACGAGAAAGAUCUAAAACUUUUAGGUCAGACAUGUACUUAAAUAAAGAUUCUGGAAUCCUUCUUAAGCCACAGUUUUGCAAUAUCAAAGUUGACAAACGAGGACAUUCAGGUGAUAUGUGAGGAGGGAUUUCUAUUAAUUUUGAAUUGUCUAAUAUCAAGGAAACCUUCUCAACACUCAUUGUCCAUUCCUGCUUAAUUGGUAGUUCCUUUAAUUGCAUGUAUUGAUGACCACUACUUUUAACAUACAAUGCCACGUCUCUCAAAACAUCAUGCAUCUUAACUUCUUCCGUAUAAUCAGUUGUAGUCCUUUUUAACAAGCAAUUAUUUUCAAGCUUAUUUAAAAUGCUAUGGCCUUUGUCAUACAUUGCUUGUCUAGUCCCUAAGCUAUCAAGGAGUCCCUCAUCUAUCCAUUUUUCAAUUAAGUCUGUUUUUCUAAUUCUAAAAUCCUCAAGAUACAAGGAGCAAUAUAAGAAAUGAUUUUGGAUUUCUAGAUCUCCCAAAUGGUCAUAAUUGAACUUUAAACACUCAAAUUUUUCAAUGUUCGACCCUUUCACAAUUUUCACUUGCUCCUCUAAUUCAUUUAGUGCAUUCCUUCACUCACAAAUAUCAUCUACUUCUACCCCUUUUAGGCUACUAGCCAUUGUCACAAUGAAAAGUGGUAAACCGCCACAUUGCUCAACAAUUUUGUUGACAAUAUCUUUUAAAUUUUGAUCUUGUAUAACACUAUACCCCACACAAUCUAAGAAUAUAUUCAUGGACUCUUUUUUUGAAAGCGGUUGCACUUUGACCACCUCACAACCCAUAGAUUUAUAGACCUCAAUUGAUGUACUAGUGAAAACUACUUUCCUCCCCAUACUUAAUGUUGGUUUUGGGAUUUCCUCAUUUAGUAGAGAAAGUCAUUUCCAAACAUCGUCUAAGAUCAACACAUAUCUCUUUUUCUCUAAAAUAUCUUUUAAUGUUGCUACUCGUUGCAAGUCAUCUACUGGAAGAGAUUAUUUCAAAAAAUUUGUAAUAUCUUGUUGCAAUUUGAAAAUAUUCAAUUCUUUUCAUAUAGUGACCCAUAUCACUUGAUCAAAUCAAUUAUCCUUCAACAAUUGAUUAUUGAUAUGCUUCAUGAUUGUAGUUUUCCCUAUACCACCCAUUCCACAUACUCCAAUCAUUCCAACCUCUUCACCCAUCAGAUACUCUGAAAUUUGCUCUUUCAUAUUGAUUUCACCCUCUAGAUUUGGUGUUGCUAAUGUCAUCCCAGCAAUUGAAGGCCCAUCAACCGCCACACCAUCAGGGAAACAACCUUGUUGGUAAAUUUCCAUUACUCCUUCAAUCUUUCCGCAAAGAAAUUUUCCUAGAUGGCCGCAUAAUAAGUAUGAAACAGCACAGAACUUCUUUUCAAUCUCUUUCAUUUCAGUCUUUACCCUUUGUACCUCUUUAAACCAGUUCUCCACUUCUUUCUUCACCUCUUUUCUGUGACGAAGCUCCGCAUCCUUAAUGGAUUCAACAUCUUUCUUUCGAGAUUUCAAAGCAUCCACUUUCCUUCGAAGCUCAUUCAUAUGUUCUGCAGGUUUUCGAUGAUGAUCUAUGUAUCUAUAGGUUGGAUCCCAAAAAUACUUUAUCACUUCAUAAAUUAGCCCUAAAAAGUCCAUAUAAGCUACACCCUAUAAUUUAAUAAACCAACUUAUAUUACAUCUCUACAUGAUAUAAGCUACUCCCUGUACUAAAAUUCAAUAAAAUAAUAUGUAGCCUAUACGUUACAAAAAAAAUGUUACAAAAUAAUAAAUUUUUAAUUUCAAAAUUGGAAGACUAAAUUUACUAUAUGUGAUUUUUUUAUAUAUUUUACACAUUUAAUACGAAUUCAAAUGAGAUUAGGCAAGAAUUUGUAAUUGUUAGCCUAAGUGAACAUAGAAUGACCAUUUAAUGUUAAAUAUUCAAAUUCAAAAAUGGAUAUUGUCACCCAAAAAUGUAUUUGCUAGCAUAACUCAAAUAAAAGGAAAACUUUAUAAUAUUAAAAUUUGCAUUGAUUUCACUGUUUUCUCUACCAAUUGUUUCAAAUAGCGUUUAUUGCUAUUAAUUUUUUUGACCAUGACUCCUAAUUUGAUUUUUGUUUCAUACUUAUUACUUAUUUAAUUGUUCACAUUCAUAAUUCAGAGUUUACCUUAUAUGGUUACUUCAACUUUACCUCUUAAAAUAUGAGAUAUCUUGAAAUUAAUGCUAUAAAUUGCAAAUUUUUUCUACUUACUUGGUAUGUUUUUGUUAAAGAUUAUAUAUAGUUUCUUAGGCUAUUCUCCACUCAUAUUUAGUUUCUAUGUUUCCCUAAUCCAAAUUUCCAUCAUCAAAAGUUUGAUUUCUUCUUUUUGCAGACCUCUUUGAAUUAUUCAAUUUUGUCUAUAUAUGUAUUUUGACCUCAUUGAUUUAUAAUUAUUUAGUAGUUAUGUAUUUCAACCUCUUUAAUGAACUAUUCAAUUUCUUAAUUUAUUUUCUUUAGUCAAUUGUUUUACUGUAUUCAUAUGAGUAGAUUUUCAUCAGAAUCAUUUAAUCUUCUAAGACGUUAUUCAUUAACAUGGAUACUUCCAACUUAAUUUUUUUUUACAUUCUACUUUAUAUUUUAAAUUCUUAAAAAUUAUUAUAAAAUAAAAUUAUCACCUGUGCAUUGCAUGGGGAUAAAUCUAGUUUUUGAUAAUAAUAAACAUCAUCUUAACCAAUAAUAAUGAUAAUAAUAAAUAUCAAAGACCCAAGCAAAUAUUAAUCAUUUUGAAUUGAUAGUCCUAAAUAUUUUCAAUUGUGGAUUAAUAAAAUCUAAACAUGAGUAAGGAAUAUAUAUAUUACAUCUUUUUGAUAAUUAAAACAACAAAGCUUGUGACAACAACAAUAUAUCAUAAAAAGAUAUUUAAGAAAUGAUAGAAAGAAUAAAUUGAGAGAAUAGAAUGAUAUUUAGGGUCCGUUCGUUUUGCAGUAAAAUAUUUUCCGGAAAAUAUUUUCAGGACUUAUGCUUGUUUGGUAGAUGGAAAAUUAAUUUCAGAUGUAAAACAUUUUACGAGUUAAUAGGGUUAACCAUGGAAAAUGUCUUAUACGCUUGAAUGGCGUAAGACAUUUUUCAAAGAACAACAAAAACACUUUUAUGCUAAGUUUAUGAUUAUAAGUUUGAUGAAUAUUAAUAUUUAACUUAAAAUAUUAAAAAAAUAAAAAUAUUAAUAUUUAACUUUAAAAUAAUUACUUUAAAAUAUUAAUAUUUAAAUUAUACAAUACUAUUAAAAUUAAAAAAAAUAUUAUUGUAAUGAAACCAUUCAAUACAAUUAAAUUUUUUAUUUAUAAAUGGAAUAAAUCUUAUUAAUAAUUAUAAUAAAAAAUAUUUCAAUGAUCAUUAUUUGAUUAAUACACAUUUAUAAUAGUUUUAAAUCUUACUAAUAAUUAUAAUUAAAAAUAUUUCAAUGAUCGUCAUUUAAUGAAUACACAUUUAUAAGCAUAGAUUUAGGAUAUCUUACACAAUUGAUAAAUAUUUACAUUUUAUAGUUAUGAUAAAAAAGUGAUAAAAUGGAAAUUUUUUUGAAAAUUAGAGUUUAUUUUCAUCACAGAUAUGUGGUUAAAUGNGAAAUUUUUUUUUAAAUUAGAGUUUAUUUUCAUUACAGAUAUGUGGUUAAAUGCUUUGAGAAAUAUCAUUAUUGAUUUUGUCCAUUUUCAUCUUCAUUCUUAAUUUUGAUCCCAAAUUAGUGAAAAUCAAAUAUCAAUAUUGUUUUGUAAUCAACUCCUAUUUAUUAUUUUAACGCCUAAAUAAGUCCACCAUAAUGAAAAAUAUUUUUCAUAAAAUGAUCCAAACAACUGAAAAUGUUUUCGAUAGUUUAUCCAAAUAAUAAAAUAUAUUAAAUUUUCCUAUAAAAUAUUUUACAUAGGAAAAAUUUUCCUUCAGUAAGUCAAUUUACGAUUACCAAACGGACCUUAAAGUACCUGGUUUCCUUUUCAAAUUAUUUGGAAAGACCAAGAAUAGAGGUUAAGUAGAUGAACUGCAAAUUAAUCCCCUUGGCUCCUUGCGUUAAGUAGAAAUUUUUGUGGAAAAUUAAAAAUCUUAUUUUUAACACCAGUAGUGUUAAUUCAAAUUUAUACUUGUACCAAUUCAAAUUUAUAUUUAAGAGGAGAAUCAAUCCAAUCUGAAGAGUGAAAAAGUCUUGAAUUAAUUCCUUGUUGCUGAUGUAGAGAGAUGUAGUUGUAGAAGAAACUAUGCAUAGAAGGAACAAGUUUAGCCCUUGAAAAGAGCCUUGUGGAUGGCUCUUGAUCUUUACACAAAUGCUGCAGAGAACUUGUAAAUGAUGAGCUUGCAUGGAAUUUGUAUAUCUUAAUCAUAUGAAGCUUCAGUUUGGUCCUUCAAUUUCUCUAUCUAUGAAAUAAACACAAGGCAUUGUAUAUGAACUAUUCUAUACAUCUCAACUCUUCUUGGACAUAGAGAAAACCACCUUCAACUUGCUUUGAAAUUUCCUUCCUUGGUACAUGAUGCUGUCAAGUUAAGAACAUUGAAAAAUAGGAUUCAACCUUGCAAUCUAUAUUGACAUGAGGUUAACAUAAUUCUAAUCCAGUAUUGCAACUCCAUUACUGUCGACUCAAUCUGUAAUUAAUUUAAACAUAAGGGAAAGUAAGGUUAGAUUCAUUCGCAUUGGCUUUCUCUGCCCUGCUUUUAGAAAUUUCGUUGGUGAAAUUGGAUAAUGCUUCUUUCAGAUAAAAGACUUGAAGAUACCCCUUAAUAAAAGGAUUUGACAAAUUCUAAAUAUAAUUAGUUGAAUCAUAUGCAGAAACUGAAUUUGAAUCUCAAAAAGAAGAUUUUCUUCUCAUGAAAGCCUCUGUCAAGAACAUAUCCAGAUGACUUACAAUUCAAGUGAAUUUGGAUAGUGCUUCUGAUGAAAGCCUUCGAACAUUAGAACUACAGAAGACAUACAAUUCAAGUGACCAGAUUCCAGAUCAAAUAUGAACAAAUCUUGUAAAUUAGCAUUUUCUCCGCUCCUUGUUAUGCAACGACCAAGAGGCUUUACAGGAUUACGCUGCUGAAGCUUGGCAAUCAAUUUCACAUCAUUUCAUAGCACAUACAAUCCUUGUCAAGAACUCCUUCAAAGCCUAUACACAGCAAUUUGUCAUCCAUCUGAUAAUGUACCUUGAAAGGUUAAAAGUAAAGAUUGCAAAAGGGUUUUCCUUGUACAUACGUCCGAAUCCACCUUAUCCAAGCUUCUUGUAUAUUGGUGACUUUAGCUAUAGAGGAUAGGUCAAACAAGUCGAACCUCUGUGUUUUCCUUAUUGCCUACAACGUUCUGCUCAGCUUCUCCCAUGGUUUCUUUCUCUGAAAUAGAGGGAAAUGUGCCUCCUUAAGUGUACAGUUUUAAUGAUUUUUUUUUUGGAAGAUAUAGUGAUUUUUCAAUGCUGUUUUUUCCUCUGUUUUUUCUCCACUGACAAAUGAUUGAUACGCAAUUUCUAGCAAACUAUACCUUUCGAAAAAUUUCAAGAAACAGAAGAGCUAAAUGUUAUGGUUGACAAGACAAAUGAGCUUUACCUUGUAGGUUUCUCCAGAGUUUGUAAAGGUAACAGUCAAUUAUCACCAUCCCAGCAACAAUGGCAAGGUCAAUUCUGCUUUGAGAUAACAGCCAUCCUCUUCUUAGGCUCAUCUUUAGCCUUUUCAGGUUCAGAUUUGACACAGGAAAGUCAGUUAAACUUAUUUUCAGAAAGUAAGACACAGAGUUAAAAAAUGCUAAUGACACAUGAAAAAGCAAAUGAAUUAAUGAGUUAAAAUUAGGUGCAAAUUUAAUUUUGAAGCAGAAAUUUGAAUAUAAUGUACUCGCCCACCAGAAGGUUUCUGUCUGAUAUCAAAUAAUCAAAUCACAUGACUGAAAAGUUAGUGGUAGGGCCAAGAACUGAAGGUCCAUGUUUUCCUUGAAGCUUUCAGCAUGCCCUGAUCAGUUUCUUCAAUGUUUUUCUCUUAUCUAAUGUUCUGCUCAACAAAAGAAUAAAAAAUAAAAAAAUUUAAGACUAAAUGUAAAUGCAUGGUAAACUUGCUGUCUAGCUGAGAUGGUUUUAGAAAUUACUGAAGGCAUAGUGAAUGCUAAAUUUUUAAUGAAAAUCUGAUAGCCCAAUAACCAUAGGCAAAAAACAACUUGUGAAAGGACCAACCUAUCAUUGCCAUCAUCAGCCUCUUACUCUUCAUCCUCUUCUGAAGAAAAUUCUAAAACAACUUGUGAAAGGACAUCCUUAGCAUCAGGAUCAUCAAAUUCCACUAAUUCCCACCAUUUUCUUGGAUGAACAUAGCCAUGCUCGAGAGGAGGAGGAGUUGGUUGCCCAGUUUCAAGCCGGGGUAUGGAGAAAGGGAUCUUCUUGAGCUUUAGACAAUUUAUUAUUGAAAGAAAUUGGAGAGAGUUUGCAGGAACCAUAACUCCACUAGUACAAAUGCUUUUCAGUUCCGGUAAUUUGAUCAGGUGCAAGGUCUGUAAUUUGGGAAAAACAUAUGUUGUUACUUUAGGACCCCUUUCUUCUUCUUUGUGAUUUUCUUCCUCUGCUUCUGAUGCGAUUAUUUUCUCCAUCUUCUCACAGCGAUUAACUUCAAUGUACUCUAAGUUUUGCAAGCCCCGCGACAGCUGAACUGAAAACAAAUUCUUUAUACUUGAACAACGAAACAAAUGAAAUUUCCUAAGAGAAGAGAAGAUGGCAGGCGGUGCUGGAGUGUGAGAUGUAGAGACAGCUGCUACUCUUCCUUUCACAAGUUCUUGCAAGUUGGACAAACAUCGAAGACGUAGAACCUCAAUGUUCUGCAAUGAAUUGCAAGAUGAUAACGACAAAUCAACCAUGCACUUUAUUCCUUUACACCAACUAAUAGUACAUGUCUUCAACUCAUUUGCUUUACGGCACAAAGAAAUAUUGCUCAAGCUUUUGAGAUCAUGACAUGCCUCAACAGUCAGAGUCCUAACGCAAUUUGGGAGCACCACAAGAUCUUCUUUCCCUAUCUCGCAAUUAAUAAAACAUACCUUUUUGUCAACUUCGACAUCCUCAAGAUGAGAACACCAAGGAUGGCUCCUGAUGUUGCCCAAAGUAGGUGAUCCAACUCCAAGCCAGUAUUUGGAGGGCCCUUGACCCAAUAAAGACUUGGCAUAUCUCUCAAAGUCUUGUAUUUCACAAAAGAAUCCUAGAAGAAUCUCCAGCUUCCUUAGUUUGGCUACUUCCUCUCCUCUUCUAUUCAUCCAAGUUUUCAAGUAUUGGAGAUUAGAAAGCCUUAAUAGAAUUUCCGUUGGUAGUUCCUUUAGAUUCCUUGAAUAUAAAUCAAGAUAUGUGAGGCUUUCUAACAUUUCUAUACCACGAGGGACCUCCUCAAUAAUUGUAUCAAAAAGAUCCAACUUUCUCAAGGCUGUAAGCUUGGCUAAUGAAGGCACGUAUCUUAAACUGCUACACCUUCGAAGGACAAGUGCAGUUAGAUUUUCCAAGUUAGAAAUGGAAUUGGGCAGAUCAUAAAUGCCAGUAUCCGAAAGAUCUAGAACUUUUAGCCCAUGCAUGUGGUCAAAGAAAGAUUCUGGAAUUCUUUUGAGACUAUGAUUUUCUUGCAAUAACAAGGUUGACAAAUUAAGGCAUUUCGGUGAUAUCUGAGGAACUUGUGAUAUGUAAUUGUGAAUCAAGGAAACCUUCUCAAGAUUCUCUUUCCAUUUAUGCUCACUUGGUAACUCCACUAAUUGCAUACCAGCUUGAACCAUAAAGUGAUGACACCCUCUUAUAAUAGACAAUGCCAUGUCUCUUAGAACAUCAUGCACCUUCACUUCUUCCUUAACAUUGUAAGUCAUCACCCUCUCUAACAAGCAAUUAUUUACAAGCUUAUUUAAAAUAGCGCGACCUCUGUCUUGCAUUGCCUGUCUAGUUUCUAAUUCAUCAAUGAGAUCCUCAUCUAUCCAUUUUUCAAUCAACUCUUCUUCCACAAUGUGAUAAUCUUCAGGAUACAAGGAACAAUAUAAGAAACAAUUUUGAAUUUUUGAAUCUUUCAAACGAUCAUAACUGAAUUUCAUACGCUCAAAUAUUUCAAUAUCUAACCCUUUCACACUUUUAACCCUUUCACGUAAUUCAUUUAGUGCAUUCCUCCACUCGCAAGUAUCGUCCACUCCUCUCAUGCUACUAGCUAUAGUCACAAUGGCAAGCGGUAAACCACCACAUUCGUCAACAAUAAGGUUUGCAAUUUCCUUUACAGUUGGAUGUUGUAGAACCCUAUCCCCCACCAGAUUCAAAAAUAAGUUCAAUGACACCUUCUGCGAAAGAGGCUGCACUUUAAACACCUUACAACCCAUAGAAUUACAAACCUCAAUUGAUCUACUAGUGAUUAUCACUUUGCUCCCAUUAUGUAAUGUUGGUUCCGGGAUUCCCACAUCCAAUAGAGAAAACCGUUCCCAAACAUCAUCUAAGAUCAACACAUAUCUCUUUCUUUCCAAGACUUCCAUUAAUACAGUUGCCCAUUGCAACUUAUUUUCUGGAAGACAGCAUUCUAAAGCACAUGCAAUAUCUCCUUGUAAUUUGACAGCAUUGAAUUCUCUAGAUACGGUGACCCAAAUCACUGCAUCAAACUGAUUUUCCUUCAACAAUUGAUUAUUGAUAUGCUUCAUGAUGGUAGUUUUUCCCAUUCCACCCAUACCACAUACUCCAAUCAUGCCAACCUCGUCACCCAUUAAAUUUUCCCAAAUUUGUUCCUUUACAUCGAUUUCACCUUCUAGUUUUGUUGUGAGAAAUGUCACCCCUGUAGCUGGAGGCCCAUCAAUUGUUACACCCUCAGGGAAAUUACCUCGUUGAUAAAUUUCCUUUGCUUCUUCAAUCUUCUGGCAAACAAAUUUCCCUAGGCGUGCACGUGAGAAGUAUGAAACAACACGCAAUUUCUCUUCAAUCAUUUGAAGUUCAAUAUUUAUCCGUUCUAAAUCUUCAAACCAUUUCUCCACUUCUUUCUUCACCACUCUUCUGCAACGAAUAUCUGCUUCCUUUCUGAAUUCAAGGUCUUGCUUUCGAAUAUUUAGAUCAUUCACUUUUCUUUUAAGAUCAUUCACAUUUUCCUUAAGUUUCCGAUGAUGACUAAUGGAUCUAUAGGCUGGACCCCCAAAGCACUUUACCACUUCGAAAAUUGGCCCUAGAAGCUCCAUAUAAGCUACUCCCUGUAGUUUAAAAACCAAUAUGUAUAUUACAUCUCCAUAUAAGAUACUGCUUGUACUACUAUGUUAUUAAAUCUCAAACUUUUAUCAAUUCUUCUAAAGAAAAAAAAAACAAAAGAAAAAAUAUUGCUUUUAAAAAACUUUAUUAAAUACAAGAAUCCAUCAUCUAUGAGAAUAGUGUUUAUAUUUCUAAGACUACUUAUACGUUAAUGGUUUUAUAUAUAGUAUAUGUAGAUGAAUGUAUACAUGUUUGUGUUUAUAUAUUUAUAUAUAGUGUUCAACUUUCUCACUUAAGAACCAUCACAAAUUCUUUAAAUAUGUCUGACCUGUGUUUUCGAGUCUUGAUCAUUAGAACAUUAAUAAAAGGAGGAAUAAAAAAAUGAGAAAACAAUUCUCAAUAAUAUUAAACAUCAAGGACCCAAGCAACUUUCUCACUUAAGUUGUAUCACUCUCUAACAGGUAAUUAUUUUCAAGCUUAUUUAAAAUGCCCUCUGUCAUGCUUUGUUUGUCUGGUUUCUAAGCUGCCAUGGAGCCUCUCAUCUAUCCAAGUUUCAAUUAAUUUCAUUUUCUCAAUUUCAAAUUCUUCAGGACAUAAGGAACAAUAAUAUAAGAAAAAAUUUUAAAUUUUGUAUUUCUCAAGCAAUCAUAACUAAACUUCAAACAACCAAAUAUGUUGACGUUCACACCUUUCACACUUGUCACCCACUCUUCGAAUUCAUUCAGUGCAUACCUGCACUCACAAUAUCAUCUACCCCUUUCAUGCUACUGGCUAUUAAUGUCGCAAAGCGGUAAAUCGCACAUUGCUCAACAAUUUUGUUGACAAUGUCUUUUAAAUUUCAAUCUCAUACAACACCACAUGAUCUAAGAAUAAGUUCAUGGACCACGUUUUUUAAAGUGAUUUCACUUUGACAACCACACUAUCCAUAAAUUUACAGACCUCAAUUGAUUUACUAGUGAGUACAACUUUCCUCCCCAUACCUAAUGUUGGUUUUGUGAUUCCUACAUCCAAUAGAGAAAAAAUUGUUUCUAAACAUCAUCUAAAAUCAACGCACAUCUCUUUUCCUCCAAAAUAUUAUUUAAUGUUGCUGCUUAUUGCAAUAUAUCUUUUGGAAGAGAUUGGUACGAAGAAUCUGCAAUAUCUUCUUGCAAUUUGAAAAUAUUCAAUUCUUUUAAUAGGUGAGCCAUUCCACUUUAUCAAGCCAGUUAUCCUUCAACACUUGAUUAUUUAUAUGCUUCAUGAUGGUGGUUUUCCCUAUGCCACUCAUUCCAUAUACUCCAAUCAUUCCAAUCUCAUCACUCAUCAAAUACUUCAUUUUUUAAUUUUUCUUCAAUUUCACCUUCUAGAUUUGGUGUUGGUAAUGUCACCCUGGUGGCUAAAGGCCCAUCAAUUGCCACACCAUCAAGGAAACCACCUUGUUGGUAAAUUUCCUCUAAUUCAUCAAUCAUUCAACAAAAUGAUUUUCCUGGACGACCGCAUAAGAAGUAUGAACCAACACAGAACUUCUUUUCAAUAUUUUCCAUUUCAGUCACCCUUUGUACGUCUUCAAAGGUUAAAUGGAGCACAGUAUGCAAGCCCAAAAGAUUUGGAGGACUGGGGAUCUCAAACCUUAAGCAUAAAAACUUAGCUCUCCUUGCAAAAUAUUGGUGGUGGCAGUAUGGCAACGAGGAAAACGCAUUAUGGAGGUGGCUGAUUGUAGAAAAAUAUGAAAGGGGGCAAAAUCAUUGGAUCCCCUCAUCAUCAAACAUGGGAAGAAUGUCACUGAUAUGGAGAUCCAUUGUAAAUUUACCUUCCAACAAGGGUGUUCAAGAACUUGUGUGAGACCAAGCAUGUCGCUGGAUUACUAUUUUCUUUUGGCUUUACAAAUUGAUUAAUGAUGUUCCUCUUUUCUCCAAAUUUUCUCCUCUUUUCUCUUUGAUUGUUUCAAAGGAAAUGAAAGUUGUUGACGUGCAGAACAAUCGCACUUGGUCCAUAACCUUUAAACACAAUCUACAUUUAUGGGAGAAAGAAUCCUAGGAUGAGAUCCUCCACAAGUUCUCCUCGAUUCCUUACUCCAAGGAAAAGGUGAUAAGCUCAUUUGGCGGCAUGACCCUAAGGGUGCUUACUCUAUUAAAACUUUCUACUUACUCCUUGAUGCUAAUCCUAGUGCUUGAAAGUUUGGUUCAACACUAUUUGGCACUUCUCCAUUCCACCGAAGGUGCAAUGUUUCCUAGGGCUCUCGCUCAUAUAUAGAUUCUUUACCUACCAAAGGCUUCCUUUCGUCCGAGGUGUUUAAUUCAAUGUUGAGCAACUUAGAUGCCCUUGGUGCAGCCUUGUAGUGGAGACAUUUGUUCUUUGUAUUAUCUUUCAGUAUGUUGCUAGUAGUUGAUGUAUAAUUCUCUUAGGCCAUGUUUCGGAUUGUUCUGCAUUUUGUAAGCCAGGCUGGUUAGGUUCUGUUAUGCACUCUUUGUGCACUCCCCUGUUUUUUUCAUUUUCUGUUCUGCAUCAACAGUUCAUUCCCAGCCUUGUACUUUAAAAAACCAACUUAUAUUACAUCUCCAUAAGAUAUAAGCUAUACCUUGUACUAAAAAGCAAAAGAAAAAUAAGUUUUGAAAACAUUAUUAGAAACAAGAAGUUUUUGUUUCGAUCAUCUAGGUGAAUAAUGUUUACAUUUCUAACACUAUAUUUAUCAAGCCGAAUGUAUAUACUAUUUAUAUAUAGCAUAUACUUCCCCCCCUAGAGAGCCAACACAAAUUCUUAAAUAUGUCUUGCCUACAUAUCUCAAAAAGAUAUUUAAGAAAUAAUUGCAUGAAUAAAUUGAGAGGGUAAAAUGACAUUAAAAAUACCAGGUUUCUUCUUCAGGAAAGAUGAAGAACAGGGCUCAAGUAGUACAAAUUAAUCCCCUUGGUUCCUUGCUAAGCACAAAUUUGUUGUGGAAAAUAGCUGACAUAAAAGAGGAACAAUCACUAGUGUUGUAAAGGUGAAAAGCUUAUUUGCUAAAGUUUUUGGAAUUAUUCUUAUUCUUGCUCACUAUAAUUAAUUUCAGCCUAAUUAAUAGAAUAGAAGCAUGACAAAGAAAGAACCAAAAUAAUUUUGUGCAACUUGACUAAAGAUGAUGAAAUUAUGUUACAAGAUUAUAAGAUUCUAAAGAACAUGAACCCAAAAGAUUAAAAAUCAUAAUAUAAAGGAAUAGGCAGUUCAAUUACCUGGUUAAAUGAGACAAUGAAUGGGUACGUCUCCUCUCCUUAGAGGGUCUUGGUUAUAUUGGUGGAAUGGAAGAUUAAUAUCUCCUUCUAGAAUUUGUCAAGAACAGAGCAAAAUCAGAUCUCUCUGCUGGCAAAAUAAUACUAAUUGACGAUGUGGAGCAACAAAACUUGUCACACGCCCUAUAUCUACUUUCUUAUAUUUAUAUUUCAAAGGAGAAUUAAUCCAAUUUAGAAAAGUCAUGAAUCAUAAUUUCUUGUUGCCGAAAUAGGAAGAUUUGGUUAUAGAAGAAACUACGCACAACAAGUUCAGCACUUUUGUUCUUUUUUAUAAUUAAGAAACAAACAUAACCCAAAAAGACAUAUGUUUAAGCAAUCAAUAUUGCAAGAAUAAAGGAGACGGUAGAAUGAUUGCAAGGGCUAAAGCCAUAUAUAGUAGGGGAAAGGAUAUGAAACCUGUUUCCUUCUUCAAAUUAUUUGGAAAGAUGGAGCUGAACAGGUUCUGAGCCACAAACCUCUUGGAAUUUUAUGUGGAAAAGUAACUGACAUGAAAGAAGGAGAAUCAAUAGUGUUAUGAUAAAGCUGAAACUCUUCACUUGUAGCCUAUGGGUCUAGUUUCUACUCAUUAAUGGAGAGAAUUAUUGAAUUAGGAAGCAAAAAAGAAUAUAAAGUCGGCAACUCAAUGCAAAGUCAUGAUAGGAGUUGCGAAGUCACUUUCCUUGAAUUCAAUAAAAAAACUGGCCACUUGUCCUCUCUAUAAUUCCAAUAUUGUCCUCACAAAUUUCUUUAUGUGUUAAGGAAAAGACCAUAAAUACGUAGAGAUGUUAAAACAGUGUAUCGGCUGAAUAACCAAGCUACUGUUUACUGCAAUAGAACCUUGACAUGACAUAAUUACACGUAUAAAAUUAUUCUUACUAAUAAUAAAGGUUUAAAUAUUGGUCAAGUAAUUUUGGUUGGACCACACUUGACUUUUUACUUAUAAAAAAUUUAGAAUUAUUUGUAAAAAUUAUUUUAUUCAUAACUUUUAAUAUUCAAAAAGCUUGUAAAAUAGUAAAAGAUAAAAUCAGAAAAGCAAAGCAGAGAAGAAACAAUACCAAGAAGAUAGCAACUAGCAAAAUCUUCUAUCCAAAGAGAAUGAAUUUUUGGAGCAAAAACAAAAUUAAAAAAUGGCCAAGUCAAUGCCACAAGUCGUUGCUGAGGUUUCCAAGUAACUUCCCUCGAAACAUGAUAUAUAUAAAUGCAUAUUUCCUAUUUUUUGUCGUUCGGAACAUAGAAUUUUCCUUUAUUUUUAAUCUAUUCUCACUUUGUAAAUUUUGUUUGACCAUUGGCUUUCUGAAUCUAAUCUAACCUCGUAUAAUUUCAUCAUGAGGUUUGUAUAUUAAUAAUGAUCAUUGAAGAAUCUAAAAUUAACAAUUAUCAAGUGGCCACUAAAGAAAAACUAAAAUGAAGUAUACUUUGUGUGAAAAUUUUUACUUUAUUGUUCAGAGUCUAGUCUUCUAGAGAUCAUAUUCUAUCUUGUGUGUGACAGACACCAAUUCUUAAUGCUCUGCACUGAAAACGCAAUAUACAUUUGCUGAAUCGAAAUUUAUAUUCAAAAGGAGAAAUAAUCCAAUUUAAUAAAUUACUAAAAAUGUCAUGAAUUAUAAUUCCUUGUUGCUGAUAUAGAAAGAUUUGUUUAUAGAACAAACUAUGCCCAACAAGUUUAUCCCUUGAUAUAAGUAAUGAGAAAGGAAAGAGGCUUGUGCAUGAUGGGGAUUCAGCUUCUUGCUUAUCAGCCAUUUCAGAUUACUUCAAAAAAUGAAGGGGAACAGAUCAAUUCAUUCUCUUCCAGAAUAUCCUGUUUAUUAUUUCCAUGGUUAUCGGUAUCAUAUCUGUUUAUCAAACCGAUAUAUUAUCCUUCAACAAUUGAUUAUUUAUGUCCUUCAUGAUGGCAGUUUUCCUAUGCCACCUAUUCUGCGUACUGUAAUCAUUCAAACCUCAUCACUCAUCAAAUACUCCCAAAUUCGUUCUUUAAUUUUACAUCGAUUUUAACUUUUAGAUUUGGUGUUGGUAAUGUCACCCAGGUAGCUAGAGGCCGCAUACUGUCAAGGAAACUACCUUGUUACAUUUCCUUCUUCAAUCCUUCAGCAAACAAAUAAAUUUGCUAGCAUAAAUCAAACAAAAAUCAAACUUUAUUAGAUUUAGCAAUACAUCCAAUUUCCAAAUAAAAUAAAACGGAUACAAGAUACCAUCCACUAACAGUGACACAACUCCUGCAAACAAUUCAAAAUAUAUUACAGCAUAACAAUAUUCCUCCCCUUCCCACCCCAUUUAUUUACAAUGUAUCCCAACCGGCCAAUCGGCAGGCAAAGUUGGGUAAGGGGAGUGUUGCUUCCUCGAUUACUUGCAAGUGACGUAUACUUCCACUACACCACAAUCACCAUCUAUUCUCUUGGAUUGGGUUCCGACCAGUGCAUCAAAGUGUAAACUGACAAUGUUGUGAGGCGGAAGCGUAUCUUUUUCUGCCAUCGAAUAAACUUUCCUCCUUUAAAGUGAUCUAACUUGAUAAUGUUGGUAGCUAUCUCUUUAAGUGAAGCCAUUUUGAAUGCUAAGAAAAUAAGUCUUAAAAUUGUUGGUACAAAUGGGGUUUAAAUGGAAUUCAAAAACUAGCAUAAUUGACUUCAAGACAAGCCUUUCAAUAGAAGUUAUAUUUAAAUUUAUUUUGCCCCCACCACUCAGUAUGCAAAAGAGGAAUAAUGCGAAUAGCCUUAGGGAUACAAUGAAAUCAACAUCUAACUUCAUCUUACACUUUAUGAGAGUAGACCGCUAGAUACACCUGAGGAUUUACAAAAUUAUUUGGCUUUAGAGCUUACUUUUUGCAACAAGUAGAUUAUAAGGAAUUUGGACGCUUUUGUAGUUGAUGGGAACUUAAGUGUUUACGUUAAUAGAACAAAAUAUUUUUCUUACUCUUUGAUAUUUCUGCUCUUGUUUUGUUUUUGAUUUGAUGUCUCAAAAUGGUUGGCAACAAGCCCUUCCUAUAGGCUUCCUAUAGGCUUGCAAGUGUCUCUUCUUCAAUGACCCAACCCUUUCAUUAAGGCACCAUUUUGUCUAAAAGACAUCUUUACAUUUUGUUAGACAUAACUUUUGGAUAAAUGUAUUAUUUCAAUAGUCAUCUUAUGAAAAGAUAACUAUUCAUUCUAUAAAAUAUAAUCUUUGAGUUAUAAUUUGUAAUAAUAACAUUCCGUAUUUAACUUUUGAGCUAUGGUGUCUUUUUAAUUUAUCUCAUAACUUUUGAAUGUCAUUUUACUAAGAGACAUAACCAUUCAUAUGAAAACUUGCCUACAAUCCAAUAGACACACUAUGUCACUUUAUGUGACAUAACCUUUGAGCUAAGAUAGCUUUUCAUUAUAUGAUACAAUCUUUGAUUUUGAAAAUGCACCAACAACUUUGACCUUAUAAACAACUCUAAAACCACCUUCCCCUAGCUUGAUGUCCAUAGAAAAGCUAUCAGUAGCACGAGCUACGGUAGCAAGCUCCAAUAUUGGAAGCUCCAUGUCUUCAUCCUGGCCUUGAUUUUCUUGAUCAUUUUCCUUAUUGUCUUUAGUUUCUUUAAAACAGUAGCCAAAAUAGGCUUGGCAUUCACCAUAAAAUAUGAUAGAUUCUUAUGCAUUUUGAUUGAGCUAGAUAAUUGGACAAAAAGCUGAUGUGGUUUUUGAGAUCACACAAAACCAUGUAUCUCCAGUUAUUUGCUUCAUUAACAACUCUAUUUUGACACCGAUAAGCAUUGAAGAAACUGCGUGUUGAUUUGCUAGCAUCAUUACUAACAAAGGAACAAAAUGAGCAUUAUUUGUGAAGGAUAUUUCAAAGUUACGUCUGAACUUUCUGGGGCUUCUAUAAAUGUAAUAACUGACAAUAAACAGCCCCAAAACCACAGCACAGUAGUGUUCCAAUCACUGCAGCAAGCUCCAUCCUGAGCUUAUCUUUCAAUUCUGUAUGACAGAAUUUGAUAAAGAAAAGCAUAUAUGAACAAAAAAAAGUAGUGAAAACAAGAGAAAAUGUAAACUCAUACCUGAUUUUGGAGCAGACACUCUAACAUAUAGGUCCUGCCCUACUGAUUGAAAUUUUCUGUAAUCAAUCAAAUUACCAAACCAAAAGGCGCAUCCCCAAACUCUUCCUCCAUUAUCUGAACUAGUGUAUGCUUGGCUUUCUACAUUCCAUGUGAAGUCCUGUAUCAUCAGUUUGGUUCAGAACAAGUCCUGUGAUCAAUGAUUUCUAUUUGAGACAUUUUGUAUGGUUGAAAUAUAAAAUAGAAAUACCCGGACAUUGAAGAGAUAUUGAAGAGAAUUUGCAGGAAUCAUAACUCCAAAACCACAAAUGCUUUUCAGCUCUGGUAAUUUCAAUAAGGAAAGUUUCCUUAAUUUGGGAAGAAUGAAUGUUAUGCUAACAGCCCUUCCUUCUCCUCUGUUAUUUUCUCCCUCCUCUUCUGAUUCUAUUAUUUGCUCCAUUUUUUCACAAAGCCUGACAUCAAUUUCCUCCAAAUUUUGAAAACACUGCAACAGCUUAAUUGAACACAACUUCUUCAUCCUCGAACAGUUUCUCAAGUAAAAACUUUUGAGAGAAGAGAAAAUGGCAGGUGGUGUUGGGAUCUGAGAUGGAGAUACACAUAGAUUCAUGGUUUUCAUGAAUAAGAUAAAAAUGUUAUGAUCACCAUUUAAACAUAAUAUAUAUAUAUAUUUAGAGUAAUCACACUAAUCAUAUCAAAUUAAACUCAUACUCAUAAUUUGCACGCAACAUCAAAUCACCAAAUCUUAUAUAGAUAAUUUAAACUAUUAAUCUUGUUUAAUUAUAUUUGUAUUCAUCAUUUGAAGGGCUUUGUAAAUUUGUAAAGUAAACAACAAUAAGCAAUAAUUAUGUUUAUUUUCAAUAUCUUGGUACUGAUACAUCACUUCCCAAAUAUGCUUUCCUUUUCUUUUUCAUAUAUAGACAUUGUUUUAUUUGGAGAUUGUAGCUAGCUAGACACCAUUAUUGCCAGUCCAAGAGGUGACACUUUGGAGAUUGAAUAGCAUUUAAUUUUCAGGUGUUUUGGUCUUGAGAUGAGUGGCAACAUUAAUUCUUUUGGAUCUGUUGAAUUAGCUUUUGUAUAUAAAAGAAGGUAUACCUCCUCAAACAUGGAAAAUCCCCUUUCAAACCCAUAAUUUUAAAGAAAGAAAAUCCUAAUUUAAUAGAUUAGUUGCCAACUAAGGACAAGCAUUGUUGAUGUGACAUUUAUUUUGGUAUAUUCUAACACUCGUUGACUAGAUUCAAUUGGAUAGGAUUCUUAAUUUUGAUGAGAUUUAUGGGUAGUGAUUAAACAAUGGAAGUGUUGACAAUGGAGGUUCUAAGUCCCUUGCAUCUAAGAAAGAAAUGAAUUUGUUCAAUUGACACUGCUUUGGUACAUAUAGAAAGUAAGCUAAUACCAUAGCCAUAUUUCUUACGUGACUUCCAACAAAUUUGAGACUUCAGUAUGGCAAAAUAUUGGGUAUUUGAAUAAAUUACAAUACAAAUAGAGAAAGAAAAAAGAAAGAGACUAAAUAGAAAGGGGAAGUGGAAAGAUCCCCAAAAUCAAUUAAUUGUAAGUGGAAGGAGCAAAGCCCAACUUUGUUGGCAACAAAGUCAUGUUCCCACAGAUGAUUUUGUUCUUGUUGCAGAGCGUUGUCAAUAAUAUUUACUUCCAGGCUGUCUUUUGGUAAAUAGAAGCCGAUAAUGGUUCUCUGGAUCAAGCUCAAAUAUAGCUCCAUCUUCAAAAAUGAAUUGCAAAUCCUGACACUGAAGACAAAAUCAAGCCUUGUUAUUGCUUUUAAUAAAAGCAAAUAAAAUUUGAAGGGUGUUCAGCUGGGCAAUUACUAGUUCCCAAGUAACAGUUUUAACUGCUACUUUCCUGUACCAAAUUCCCAAGCAACGAUUCUUAGAGCUUCCAGGACUAAAGAAACCAAGCUCAAGGAUUCCGUCCAUCACUAACAGACUGGGAGGAGGCGGAGAUAUCGAUUCCAUCAGCAAUACUUGAAAACAAUAUUAGUAAAACAGUGUUGGUGAACAUGGAAGACAGAAUGUCCUUUUAAACUUUCAGAGCUUGUAAAACUCAUAGAAAAACUUUUCAGUUUGGCAGAUUUUAGAGAGCAAACAUAUUUAAACUGAUGAUCGUUGACUAGUAUGCAAAUCUUCCUUGAAAAGACCAAACUUUUCAGGUUGCAUAGAAUUCUUAUUUCUAAUUUUUAUGAAGCUUCAGUGCAGUCAUCUUGUAUUGUCUCUGUGAAUCAAAUAUAUAAAUAAAUAUAUAUAUAUAUAUAUAUAUAUAUUACCCACAAAUAGACACUUGCAGGGCGCUAAGCUCAAACUGGGACUAAACCACUGGUAUCAAAGCAUAAGGUACAUGACAUACUGACUGAUAGCCUAUAAUAAUGGCUUGGAGAUAAAAGAGCUAAGUAUACAGUUUAUCAAUUAUCAAGCAUCUAGUACUGACAGAGUUAUUUCAUUUGUGGGAGACGAUACAUUCUUGUCUGAUGAAGAAUCUUAUUCAAGUGGACUUUUCUUAAACAAAACACCAGGUUGUUUGGGGUGUGGCAAUUCAUUUUCGCUUCCCAAUGUCAGAAUCACAAAUGACAUACUUGGCCUAUCCUCUGGAUAUGCUGUUGUAAACUUAAACGACUGAUAAUGGAUGAAUUGUAUCACUUCUGAUAGAUUGCAAAGACUCUCCUAAGCAUUCGUCAACAAGUUUUAAAGGACUGCCUUAUUUACAUAAUCUUCAUGCCUGCAGCAAAUUGAAACCCUUUUAGGUUUUAUCAAUCCAAGAUAGGCAACAAAAAAUUGAUUAUAAAAAUAUCUGCUGAAACUGACAUGUUCAACAAGGUUGCCGCUUUGUGUUGGAUGGUAAAGCCCUCUAUUUUUUCUUCCCACUUAUUAUCUCCAUCAAUAAUAUACCAAAGCUAAAGAGAUCUGAUUUUACUGGAAGCAGUCCAUCAAUAGCAUAUUCCGUGCCAUAUAACCACUGCAGAACAUUAUCAAAAGCAAUAAAUAUAUGAGGGUAUGUAGACAUUAUGAAAAUAAAGUGAAAGUUAGUAAGUUCCAACCACUCUUUUAGCGUUCCCUUCAGUUUGGUCUCCUCCAAAAGUUCUAGCCAGUCCAAAAUCUGAAACUUUUGGAUUCAUCUCACUAUCAAGCAGAACGUUAUUAGUUUUGAGAUCUCUGUGAAUAAAAAAAAAUUAUUCAAAUGAAAUGGCAAAGAAUCUAAUUAACUCGUUUGAAGAAACUUUGGAUUUGCUAGCAUCACCAUUAACAAAGUGUUUUUUUUUUUUUUGUUUAUUUUGCAAAGGACAACUUGGCACGAUCUCUGUAAAGGAAAUGACUGACAGUGAACAACCCCAAAAGCACAACACAGUGUUAAUGCAGGAAGUUUUAUCCUAAGCUUAUCUUUCAAUUCUGUAUGAUGAAAUUUGAUAAAGAAAAGCAUACAUGAACAAAAACAAAAAAAGCAUUGAAAACAAGAGAAAAUGUAGACUCCUACCUGAUUCUGAAGCAGACAUUUUAACAUAUAGAUCCUGCCCUUUUGAUUGAAAUUGUCUGUAAUCAAUCAGAUGAUGAAACCGAAGGGCUCAACCACUACCUAUUCCUCUGUUAUCUGAACUAGUGUAUGCCAUAUAGGAAUAGUUCUACAGAUACUUAGCCCUGCGUCCCUUAAAAUUCAUACUUUUAGUUACCCAAGAAUGUGUAGCAUCUUGCAUUUUCAAAUCUUUUAAAUCUGACAAAUCCAUCUCUACUUUGGCAGUUGAAUGGCUUAUUGUGCUUACACCUUUGGGACCAGUCUGAUGAGUUCUAUCUUUCGGGAAAUUCAGGCUUAAACAUCAGCUUUCAGGGAAUUAAGGCUUGAAUCCUUUAAAAAGUGCAAGCUGAGCACCAUCACGAUUCCUUUUUGAACCACAAAGUCCAUAUCUGUCACAGUAGUCUCUUGGAGCAAAUGAGAAAAGCAUCCAAGCUUGCUUUCUGCAUUUCAUGUGUAGUCCUGUGAUCAAUGAUUUCUAUUUGAGACGCUUUGGAUGGUUGACAUAUAUAAUAGAAAUACCAGGUGGGUAGAUCAUGCAUUGUUUUCAUAAGAUGAUGUGAUUGAGUGACUUUUGAUGAAUGCAGAAUACACAAAGUGCAGCAGAAAACAAAUUAUAAACAUUGAGGUCCCAGAUAAUUUGUAUUUUUCAAUAAUAUGCAGCUUGUUCCUCUAAUCAUUCUCUUGAGUGGACAAACAUAACUUCAAUGACUUACUUGUAUUAAAUGAUUUCCAAUUCAUGAACCAGUUGAGACCAGUGUGGAUGCGUUUUCUCACAUCUGAUAGGUUGCAGGACAGUCCUAAGAAUUCACCACCGAGUUCAACAGGGGUGCCUUCCUCUCAUAAUCUCCAUGCCUGCAGCAAAUUGAAAACCUUUUAGUCAUUUUAUUAAAGUAUUUUAAUUCAUAAUAAUUAAAGUAUUUUAUUUAAGUGUUAAAGUUCUAUUUAUAGUAGUAGUAAUUAUUAUUAUUAUUAUUAUUAUUAUUAUGAGUGUGUGUGUGUGUCUUUUUUUGUUUUAAAAUUUGAAAAAAAAAAUUAAAACCAAAUUUGAAAAAUGUGAGUGAAAAUGAAAAUAAAGGAAAGGGGUAGGACGUGUCAGAUAGCAAUUGGCUGAGAUAUGCAGAUUGAAGGGUGUUUAGUUGGAGAUUUUUCUAUCAUUCAUAAAAUUAAAGACUUGGUUUUAUGUUUAUAUUAAAAAAGAGAAAUUAUUUAGCAAAUGAGAAAUUAAGAGAUAAAAAUAUUUAGCAAAUGAGAAAGAGAUGAAAAUAAACUCACAAUUAAUGUUUGCUGUUUUUAAUAAGAAGCAAGAGCCUUGCACCCUCAUUUAAUCAAACACCUCUUCUCCAUCUCAUUCUACCAAUACUGAACAAAGGGAGAAAGGACAUCCUUAGCAUCAGGCUGAUCCCAUUCCACUGAUUCCCACCAUUCUCUCGGGCUUACUAUGAUUCGUUUUAGAAAAGGAGGAGGCAAUGGUUUCCCAUUUUCAACAAGGGGAAGAGACAAUGGGAUCCUCUUUACUUCUGGACAAUCGAAUAAUGUGACAUGUUGGAGAGAAUCUACAGGAAUCACAAGUCCACCACGGCAUAUGCUUUUCAAUUUUGGUAAUUCUUCCAAGACUAAUGAUUUUAAUUUGGGAAGAAUAAAUGUUGUUCCUUCUCGUUCCUGAUUUUCUUCUGAUGCUAUUAUUUCCUCCAUUUCAUAACAAUUUCCAACUAUAAUUUCCUCUAAGUUUUGGAGGCUUUGCAACAGCUCAACUGGAUACAACUUCUUAAUCUCGUAACAAGAAUACAGUUUCAGUGUUUUAAGAGAAGAGAAGAAGGCAGGUGGUGUUGGAGCAUGAGAGGUAGAUUCAAUUUCUGCUGCUACUCCUACUCUCACAACUUCACGCAAGUUCCACAAUGACUCAAGCCAUAGCUCCUCAACGUUGUGAAGUGCGUUGCAAGACCAUGAUGACAAGUCAACCACACACUCUAUCCCUUCACACCUCCGAAUUCUACAUUUCUUCAAGUCAGUUGCCUUACGAAACAAAGGAAUAUGGCUUAAACAUUUGAAAUCAUUACACCCCUCAAUACGUAAAGUAUGAAGGUCAUUUGGGAGCACUACAUCGUCACACCUUUCUAUCUCCAAAUUUGUGAAUUCAACAUUUUUCUCAAUUUCGUUGAAAUCUGGGGAAUACCCAAUAUAAAUAUUCACAUCUGGUCCCACUUGAAAAUCGAAAGAUGUAGGCCAUUUACCUUGUGUAGACUCUGCAUAUUUCUUAAACUCUUGCAUGUCGCAAAAUGAACAUGAAACACACUCAAGCUUCCUCAAUUUGCCUACUUCUUCCCCCCUUAAAUGUAACUCCACCAGUAAGCAUUGCAGAUGAGAAAUCUUCACUAAUAUUCCCAUUGGUAGCUCCUUUAGAUGCGUUGACCCUAGACGAAAAUAUCUAAGGUUUUGUAACAUUUCUAUACCAUGAGGAAACUCCUCAAUGCUUGUACUAAAAAGGUCCAACUUUCUCAGUGCUCUGAGCUCUGCUAAUGAAGGCACAUAUUUUAACAUGUGACAAUUAGCAAGUAUCAAUGCAUUGAGAUUUUUCAACUUAGAGAUGGAAUUGGGUAGAUUCUCAAUCUCAUAAUUACCAGAAAGAUUUAGAACUUUUAGCCCAAGCAUGUGCUCAAAGAAAGAUUCUGAAAUCCUUUUUAAGUCACAAUAUUGCAAUAUCAAAGUUGACAAAUGAGGACAUUCAGGUGAUAUGUGAGCAGGGAUUUCUAUUAAUUUUGAAUUUCGCAUCAAAGAAACCUUCUCAACACUCGUUGUCCAUUCUUGCUCACUUGGUAGUUCCUCCAACUGCACAUUGGCUUUUACCAUGAACUGAUGACCUUUAAUAUACAAUGCCAGGUCUCUCAAAACAUCAUGCAUCUUAACUCCUCUUUCAUCCAAAUAAGUUUCAUCCCUCUCUAACAAGCAAUUAUUUUCAAGCUUAUUUAAAAUGCUAUGGCCUCUGUCAUGCAUUUCUUUUCUAGUCCUCAAGCCAUCAAGGAGUCCUUCAUCUAUCCAGUUUUCAAUUAAUUCAACUUUUUCAAUCACAAAAUCUUCAGGAUACAAGGAGCAAUAUAAGAAACAAUUUUGAAUUUUUGGAUCUUUCAAAUGGUCAUAACUGAACCUCAAACGCUCAAAUAUUUCAACAUCUGAUCCUUUCACACUUUUCACAUGCUCUUCUAAUUCAGUUAAUGCAUUUCUCCACUCACAAAUAUCAUUUACCCCCUUCAUGCUUUCAGCUAUUGUGACAAUGCUAAGUGGUAAACCGCCACAGUGCUCAACAAUUUUGUUGACAAUGUCUUUUAAAUUUUGAUCUUGUACAACACUAUGCCCCACAUGAUCUAAGAAUAAGUUCAUGGACUCUGUCUUUGAAAGUGGUUGCACUUUGACCACCUUACAAUCCAUAGAUUGACAAACCUCAAUCGAUCUACUAGUGAGUACAACUUUCCUCUCCAUGCCUAGUAUUGGUUCAGGGAUUCCCACAUCCAAUAAAGAAAAUCGUUUCCAAACAUCAUCUAAAAUUAACACAUAUCUUUUUCUCUCCAAAACAUCCUUUAUUGUUGUUGCUUGUUGCAAUUUAUUUUUAGGAAGAGAUUGUUUAAGAGAAUCUGCGAUAUCUUCUUGCAAUUUGAAAAUAUUCAAAUUUUUUGAUACAGUGACCCAUAUCACUUUAUCAAACUUCUCACUUUCCUUUAACAAUUGAUUAUUGAUAUGCUUCAUGAUGGUAGUUUUCCCUAUACCACCCAUUCCACAUAUUCCAAUCAUUCCAACCUUAUCACCCAUCAAAUACUUCCAAAUUUGCUCUAUUACAUCAAUUUCACCUUUUAUAUUUGGUGUUGGUAAUGUCACCCCAGCGGUUGGAGGCCCAUCAACUGCCACACCGUUAGGGAAACUACCUUGUUGGUGAAUUUCCUUUACCUCUUCAAUCUUUCGACAAACAAAUUUUCCAAAAUGACCACGUAAGAAGUAUGAAACAACACGGAACUUGGUUUCAAUCUUUUCCAUUUCAGUGUUUACCUUUUCUACAUCUUUAAACCAAUUCUCCACUUCUUUCUUCACCACUUUUCCAUGACGAAGCUCCGCUUCCUUUUUUAAUACGAGGUCUUCCUUUUGAUCAUUUAGAUCAUUCACUUUUCUUCGAAGAUCAUUCAUAUGUUCUUCAAGUUUCGGGUGAUGAUCUAUGUAUGUACAGAUUGGACCACCAAAGCACUUUAUUGCUUCAAAAAUUGGCCCUAUAAGCUCCAUAUAAGCUAUUCCCUGUAGUUUAAUAAACCAAGAUAUAUUAUAUCUCCAUAUGACAUAAGCUACUCCCUCUUUAUACUAAAAUUCUAUAUUUUCCAUAUAAUAUAGAAUAUGUUAGAAAAAAAUGUUACUAAAUAAAAGAUUUUUACCAAUUCUUCUUAAGAAAAAACAUAAUAUUUUUGAAAACAAUAUAAGAAAAAAGAUGUUUUUGUUUCCAUCAUGUUUGAGUAUAAUAUUUACAUUUCCAACACUGUUUAUAUCUAAAUGAAUGUAUUCAUUUUGCCCCUUAAAGAACCAUCGCAAAUUCUUGAAUAUAUCAUAUCUAUAUGGUUCCUAGUUUUGAUCAUUACAACAAUAAUAAAAGGAUGGUGAGAAUGGAGAAGUCAAUCUACUAUAAAUAUAUAAAUAACAAAAUUUUGAUAAAAGAAGGAAACGAUUUAAAAUUGAUAACUUCCUCUUCUAACACAUACACAUAUUAAAUAAAUGUUAUAUAUUUAUUAAUCAAUGCAAAAUUUUAAUUUUCAUAUUGAAAGACUAAAUUUACUAAAUUUGAUUAUCCAUUUUACACAUUUAAUAAAAAUUUAAGUUAGAAUAUGUAAGAAUAUCUAAUUGUUAGCGUUAAUAACUGUAGAAAUUACCAUUUAAUGUUGAAAAUGGAUAUUUUGACAAAAAAAAAUACAGGUAUAAUGCUAAAAAAACCCUUGAAUUAUUUACGAAAAUUUAAAAAAAAUUAUUCUUUUAUUAUGUUCAACCAUGCCCUUAUGCUUUUAUUUAAUUUAUAUUAAAUAAGCCUUUAUAACUAAUAGUUGAUUAAUUGUUAUUAAUCAAAAUAUCUCUCGUCAUUUUAUACUCACGUGGUGUUGAUGUGGCGUUGAUGUGUGGAGUAAAGAAUGAGAUAUGAUUAUGUCAUCAUACCACAUCAACAAGCUUUAAAAUAUCUUAAACAAUAAUUACAAGAAUAAACUGAGAAUGCAGAAUGACAUUAAAAAUACAUAAUUUCUUCUACAAAUUAUUUGGAAAGACGAAGAGCAGAGGUUAAGUUGACCAGUCAAUAAUUAAUUCCUUGGCUCCUUGUUAGGUACUACUCCUAUCUUGAGAGGACGUUGGUUAAAUAUGGGGAGAAAGGGACUGUCAAAAAAAAAUUAUCGGGAGAAAGGGAAGAUUAAUAUAUAAUUAUUCAUAAACAGUUGUUUUUAUACUAGAGCUAGAAUAUUUCCUUAUAUUGGAGGUUUAUUAUAAAAUAAAUCAGGGCUAGUACAACUAAUCUAUUUAAACUUAACGGCCAUUUUUUCUUUUGAUGGGAAAAAUAAAAACAAAGAGAAUUUCACAAACAUCUCAUAUAAGAUUAAUAAAUGUCAUAUAUUUGUAUUAAAUAAAUGUCAGGUAUCAAUGUAAAGUUUUAAUUUUGAUAUUCAAAGACUAAAUUUAGUACAUUUGAUUAUUUUCAUAUAUUCAGUUUACACAUUUAAUACAAAUUUAAAUUAGAUAAUUAGGUAAGAAUUUCUAAUUGUUAGCCUAAAUGAAUAUUGAAAUGACCACUUAAUGUUAAAAAUGGAUAUUUUCAUGCAAAAGCAUAUAUUUGAUAGCAUAACUCAAACAAAAGAAAAACUUUAUACUAUUAAAAUUUGCACUGAUUCCAUUUCGUUCUUUUCUAAUUGUUUCAUAAUGCUUGUAUUGUCUAUUAUUUCUAUUAAUUUUUUUUAACAAUUACUCCUAAUUUGAAUUUUCAGUACUUAUUACUAAUAUAAUAGUUAGUCAACAAUUUACAGUCAAAAUUUACCUUAUAUAAUUACUUAUUGCUUUACCUUACAAAUAUGAGAUGUUGGUACAUUUUUGUUAGAGACUAUAGUUGCUUAGGUUAUUUUAAUCCUUUUUUUCCCAUAUAUUUUGUCUACUAAUAUUUAGUUUUAUGGUUCCCUAGUCUCAAUUCCAUCAUCAAAAGUUUGAUUUCUUCUUUUUGUAUGCCUCUUUGAAUUAUUCAAUUCGAUCUUUAUAUAUAUUUUGACCUCUUUGAUUUAUUAUUAUUUGGUAAUUAUGUAUUUCGAAGUCCUUGCUGAAUUAUUCAAUUUCUUUAUUUUUUUAGUAAAUUGUUUUACUAUGCUCAUAUUUGUAAAUUUUCAUCAAAAUCAAUUACUCUUCCAACUAUCAAGAUCUUUAAGACAUUAUUGAUCAACAUGCAUAAUUCCAAUUUUUUUUUUUGGCAAUUUUUUAAUGUUCUUAUUUAGAUUCUAAAUUAAAAGAAUUAUUGUAAAUAACAUCAUCACCCUUGUACUGAACUGACUAAAUAUAGUUUUGAAUAAUAAUAAACAUCAUCUAGGCCAAAAAUAAUAAUAAAAUAUUAAACAUCAAUGACCAAAGAAAUAUUAAGCAUUUUGAAUAUUCGUAAAGAUUUUCAAUUGAGUCUCCUUGAUGAAUUAUUCAAUUUCUUUAUUUUUUAAGUAAAUUGUUUUACUUUAUUCGUAUUUGUAAAUUUUCAUUAAAAUCAUUUAUUCUUCUAAUUAUCAAGAUCUUUACGACGUUGUUCAUUGCAUGGGAAAAUUUUCAUUAAAAUCAUAUAUUUUAUGUUGUUAUCAAUAUUCCUAACUAAAAAGUAUAUAUUGUAAAUAAAAUCCUCAACCUCGCAUUGCACGGGCUAAAUCUAGUUUUCAAUAACAUCACCUAAAAUAAUAAUAAUAAUAAUAAACAUCAAACAACCAAGCAAAUAUUAAUCAUUUUGAAUAGUGUAAUCUAUCCAUACGUAAGGAAUAGUAUAUCUUUUCGAUAAUUAGAACAAGAAAGCUUGUGAAAACAACAAUAUAUCUCAAAAAAGACAUUUGAAAAAUACUUGCCAGAAUAAACAGAGAAUGACAUACAAAACACCUGGUUUCUUCUUCAAAUUAUUUGGAAAGAUGAAGCCCAAAGGUCAAUUAAAAUGAUCCACAAACCUCCCUGACUCUUUGUUCAGCACAAACUUCUUAGGCAGAAGAAACAAAUUGACAUAAAAUUAACAAGGAAAAUUAUUUUAAUAAAAAUGAAAAUUUUAUGUGCUAAAAUUUUCAGAAUCAUUCAUUUUCAGUUUUCACUAACUAUAAUUAAUUUUCACCUAAUUAAGUGAAAAAAAGCAUGACACAGACCAAUAAACAAAAUAAUUAUGUGGAAGGAAAGAUGAUGAAUCUGUGUUAUAAAUCUAAAAUAUGAACCCAUAUCUAUACUAAACAGUUUAAUUUACCUAGUCAAAUGAGGCAGAUGAGCUGAUACUUCUAUCCUCAAGGAUUCUUGCUUAAGUUUGCAAAAGUAGAUCUCCUUGCAAAAAAUUGUCAAGAAAAUAGCAACAAGCAGAUCUCCUUCCGAAAAUAUCCUCUAUGAAGGAAAAUGAAUAAUGAAGCACAUGAGUUAUUGAAAAGUGGGAAAGAUUAAUAUUUAUGUAAGAAACUGAAAUAAAUGCCCAACUUGUGUCUUAAUAUUGACAUGGAACUUAUAAUAAGAUGAAUUUAUGUUAUAAUUUAAGAUUCUGAUUAAUUAAUGUUAUCAAAGAUAAAACUAAAUCAUAAGUACACACAACUUAAUUCAGUAAGGCAGUGAAGUGAUAUUUCUAUCCUGAAAAGACCCUCAAUUAAUUGGAGAAACAAGUGCAGUCAAGAAAAAUAGCAGCAACAAAUAGAUUAUCUCCUUGCAAAAAAGAAAUCCCCAAUCCUAUGAGAGAAGAGAAUCAAUGGAUUAUGAAGAAAAAAAAUUAAAGUCGGCAGCACCCAAUCAAUUGACUCUUUGGUUGAUGCAUGAUUCUUUUUUAUCUAAAGAGUAGGCUUUAAAUCCCUCUUUCCCCAAUUAAAAAGAAAGAAUAAAAAUCAGAAAAUAUAAAGAAAAUGAAUUAUGAAAAACAUGAACUAUUGAAAAGUGGGCAAGAUGAAUAUUUGUACGGAUCUUAUGUUAAGAUGGGUUUGUGUUAUAAGGUAAGUUUCUGAUUAAUUAAUGUUACCAAAGAUGAAAGCAAAUAAUAAGCAUAGACAGUUUACCUGGGUCAGUGAGGCAGUGAAUUAAUUGAUACUUCUAUCCUCAAAAGGUCUUUAUUAAUUUUCGGAAACAAGCAUGUGGAAGAAAAAUAAACAGCAACAAGCAGAUGAUCUCCUUGCCAAAUUAAAAGAAAAUCCUAAACUUAAUCUUCCGUGAGAGGAAAAUUAAUGAAUUAUGAAGCAAAUAAGAGUUAAAAGUCAAUCCAAAGUCGUCGCACUAGUUGUGAAGUCACUUUCCUCGGAGCUGUUUCACAAUAAUGCAAAUGUGAAUAGAAGAAAAACUGGCAAAGUAGGACAGAAUUAUGGGGCCACUUAUCCUACUCUCCUUCAUUAUUUGAAAAGAUAAAUUGUUGAAGAAUAGCCCUCAAUUGGGGUAUUUCCAUUCCAUCAUCCGCUGUUUAAAUCAGAAAAAAAGAAGCAGCAAAGCAAAGCCAAGGUAAGAUGAUAGCAGCUAGGAAAAUCUCUUGUCCAAAUAUUAAUAUAUAUCUUUCGUGCCAAGAGAUAAUAAAUUAUGAGAAAAAAUAAUUAAUAGUCGUUGGGAAAGGUGAGUCAAUGCAGCAAGUCAUCGUUAAAAUUAAAUUAUGGGAAAAAAAAUAAUAGUAGGUGAGACAAUGCUGUAAGUCAUUGCUAACAUUGCUAACGUUUGCACCAAACUUUAAAUUAUGGGGAAAAAAUUAAUUAAUAGUCAAUGAGUCAAUGCUGCAAGUCGUUGCUAACAUUCCGAACGUUUGAACCAAACUUUAAAUUAUGGGGAAAAAAAUAAUUAAUAGUCAAUGAGUCAAUGCUAAAAUAUUGCUAACAUUUGUACAAAACUUUAAAUUAUGAGAAAAAAAUAAUUAAUAGAUAGUGAGUCAAUGCUAACAAUAUUGCUAACAUAUGUACAAAUCUUAUAUAAAUCUUAAUAAUUAUUAUAUGAAUCUUCUAUAAAGCCGAUUGACUUGAGAAAAGAUAAACAGGGAAAGUAAGGUUAUCCUCGAAUUUUUUCUUUUUAUUAACAUAUGACAAGUUCCCAGGCAAAAGCGAAAAUUCAAAUUAUUUCUAUAAUGAAGGGCUAAUUAACACCUUAUUAAUUGUUAAUUAAGUCUCCUUAAAACUACUCAUUCAGAUAAAUCAUAAUGUUUUUCCUUUUGAUAUAUAUAAAAAAGCUGUUCUAACUAUAUGAAUUUGUUCGAUCAUUGAUUUUCUCAAUCAAUCAGUUAGAGUUGAGCAGCAGAUAAUGUUUUAAGAAGUUGACGUGAAUAAAAUAUUGUGAGACAAUGAGCAGAGGGAAUGAGUAAACAAAUAUAUUACUCGACUCUAUAACAAAGAGUAGGAACUUCAAAUGUCAAUCUAUGAUUUAAUUAUCGGAUUAAUAUGUGCUACUAACACAAUCAAUGGUCCUGAAUAUCAAGAGUUGUUUGUUAUUAACACUACUCUGAAUUAGUAUUUGUAAUGUUUUUCCUUUAUUCUUAAUCAAUUCUAGAUAUGGAAAUUUGUUUGACCGUUGGCUUUCUGAAUCUAUCAGGAAUUGAAUAGACAAGGUGUUGUUAUAGGAAAGUUCAUGCAAUUGAAUACAUAAAGUGUGAAGUAAUGAGCAGCCAUUUUUAAUUAUUGAUUAAGUUGCUGCAGUUCUGAAACUCGUGAUUAUGAUGAGAUGUAAAUUUGAUGAAGUUAUUAUAACCCAAGAUUAAUUUAAUCAGCUAUCAAUGUCAAAGAACUUCACUUUCCUAGCUCAUAAACCGUGAACAGCCAUUUUUAAAUCUUGCUUGCAGUGUGUACAGAUCAUAUAUCUCAGAUGAUAGAGUUCGGCAGGAAAUCAAUCGAAUGAUUGGGCUAAAGCCAAGAUCUUCCAUGCUGAUAAGAAUAAAUGUAUCUGAUUGAGAGAAACUGAAUAUGCCUACUCCAUAAAAACAAUGAAUCAAAAUAUUAUUAUGCCUGUAAAUAUUUUUAUGGUACAUUAAAGGCAAAGAACUUGACAUGGGACAGGCAACAAGAUCGUCGAUAACAUCAUCAAUGAUUACAUUCGAGCCUUCUAUUAAGUUUAUGUAACAAAUACAAAUAAGUAAUGGCUUAUCAUGCAUUCUUAUUUUUGUUAUGAUAUGAGCAUUAAACGACUCUUCCUCAAUGAAACAUCUGAAAGAGUGUAGGAUAAAAGAAAUCAAAACAAUUUACAACUGAUGAAGUUUCAGUCCAGUCAUCUUGUUAAUGUCUCUGUGAGACAAAUAUACCGCAAGUAGGCACUUGCAGGGUGCUAUGCUCAAAUUGGGACUAAACUACCGGUAUCAAAGCCUAAGGUACAAAACAUACUGCUCAAUAGCAUAUAAUAAUAAUGACUUGGAGAUGAAAGAGUUAAGUAUACAGUUAAUCAAUUAUCGAGCAUCUAGUACUGACAGGGUCAUUUCAUUUGUCGAAGAAGAUACAUGAUUGUCUGAUGAAGAACCUUCUUCAUGAAGUGGUCUUUUCAGCAAUAGAAAACUACGUUGUAUGGGUGUGGCAAUUUAGUUUCACUUCCCAACAUCAGAAUCACAGAUGACAUACUUGGCCUAUCCUCAGGAUGCUGUUGUACACUUAAAAGACUAAUAUGGAUGCAUUGUAUCACUUCUAAUAGGUUGCAAGACUCUUCUAAGCAUUCUUCAACAAGUUCUGAAGGGUGCCUUAUUUCCAUAAUCUCCAUGCCUGCAACAAAUUGAAACCCUUUUAGGUUUUAUCAGACCAAGAUAAGCAACUAAAAUUUGAUUAUAAUCCCUGCUUAAAGAGCAGGGUUCAAAUCCCCCUUCCCCCAAGUCCAAAAAAAAAAAAUCGGCUGAAACUGACAUGCUCAACAAGGUUGGCGCUCUGAGUUGGAUGGUAAAGGCCUCUAUCUUUCUUCCCACUUAAUAUCUCCAGCAGUAAUAUACCAGAGCUAAAGACAAUUGAUUUUGCUGAAAAUAGUCCAUCAAUAGCAUAUUCUGGUGCCAUAUAACCACUGCAGAACAUCAUUUAAAGCAAUAAAUAUAUGAGGAUUUUUAGACAUUAUGAAAUAAAGUGACACUUACUAAGUUCCAGCCACUCUUUUAGCAUUCCCUUCAGUUUGGUCUCCUCCAAAAGUUCUAGCCGAGCCAAAAUCUGAAAAUUUUGGAUUCAUCUCACUAUCAAGCAGGACGUUACUACCUUUAAGAUCUCUAAAUAAUCCUCAAUCCUGAAUCUUGAUGAAGAUAGAGUAGUCCCCUAGCAUUGUCACAGAUAAUUCCCAAACUCUUGGACCAAUUCAGUCCUUUACUUCUUGUUUGAUCUGGCAAUUGGUAGGUAUUCUCUUCAUGUCAGUCCAAUAUCAUUUUUGAUCUUUGGAAGCAGCAAACUGCACCAUGUGUAAAAUGUAUGAAAUAUUUAUAAUAAGAGAAACAAUAAACCAAACCAAAUUGACAGGUUUUCAAUGAUUCAGACCACAAAUGAAUGAGUGAAGGCUUCUGUUAAGCAUGUACUCAUAAACCAGCAGUCUUUACUUUCUGUGAAUGCACCACCCAAGAAGCCUUACAAGAUUCUGAUGUUGAAGUUUGGCAAUCAAUUUUACUUCAUUUUUAAACUCUUUCAAUCUUGUCCAGAACUUUUUGAAAGCCUCUUCACAGCAAUUUCUUGUCCGUUUGCUAGUGUCCCCUGGAAAACUACACUUUAGAUUGAGCUUCAAUAAUAAAGAUAAAUUCUCUGUACUUAAGGUAACUUCAAUUAUAUGAUGCAACUUUUACCUUAUAAACAGUUCCAAAACCACCUUCCCUUACCUUGAUGUCCACAGAAAAGCUAUCAGCAGCACGAGCUAUGGUAUGAGGCUCAAAUAUUGGAAGCUCCAUGUCUUCAUCUUGGCCUUGAUUUUCUUGAUCAUUUUCCUUAUUGUCUUUUGUUUCUCUGAAACAGUAGCCAAAAUAGGCUUGGCAAUCACCAUAAAAUAUGAUAGAUUCUUAUGCAUUUUGAUUGAGCUAGAUAAUUGGACAAAAAGCUGAUGUGGUUUUUGAGAUCACACAAGACCAUGCAUCUCCAGUCAUUUGCUUCAUUAAAAACUCUAUUUUCACACUGAUAAGCAUUGAAGAAACUGCAUGUUGAUUUGCUAGCAUCACUAUUAACAAAGUAAUUUUUAACAAAGGAACAAAAUGAGCAUUUUUGUGAAGGAUAUAUCAAAGUUACCUUUCAACUUUCUGGGGCUUCUGUAAAUGUAAUAACUGACAAUAAACAGCCCCGAAAGCACAGGACAGUAGUGUUCUAAUCACUGCAGCAAGCUCCAUCCUAAGCUUAUCUUUCAAUUCUGUAUGACGGAAUUUGAUAAAGAAAAGCAUAUAUGAACAAAAAAAAGUAAUGAAAACAAGAGAAAAUGUACACUCAUACCUGAUUUUGAAGCAGACAUUCUAACAUAUAGAUCCUGCCCUACUGAUUGAAACUGUUUGUAAUCAAUCAAAUUAUCAAACCAAAAGGCGCAACCACAACCUCUUCCUCCAUUAUCUGAACUAGUGUAUGCUUGGCUUUCUGCAUUCCAUGUGAAGUCUUGUAUCAUCAGUUUGGUUGAGAACAAGUCCUGUGAUCAAUGAUUUCUAUUUGAGACAUUUUGUAUGGUUGAAAUAUCAAAUAGAAAUACCAGGCUGAUAGAUCAUGCAUUCUUUUAUAGGAUGAUGUGAUUGACUGACUCUUCAUCAAUGAACUAUACACAAAGUGCAGUAGAAAACAAGUAACAAACAUUUAGAUUUAUGAUAACUUGUCAAUAUGGGGGGCUAAACUUCUUUGAUAAAAAUUCGAAGUUUAUUUCAUGAUGUCCUGAGCUUAGCUAGGCAUCUUUCUAAACGCUCAAAAAGCGUUUUAUAGCUAAUGGACAGAUUAGUGAUCUGAAGAGGUAGUAAUCUUGUUUUUAAUCUUUAGCCAGGGCCUUUUGGCUAGCUGCUCACUCACUUUCAAAGAAGUGCUUCUAAACAUUUAUGAGAAAUAGGGGAUGCUCUGUUUGUAAUUGCAGGGUAAAGACAAAUUUUUAAUUAGUGGUUUGUCAUGACCAGUAAUAUCUCUCCAAUACCUAUGUUGAGAAGAGAGAAAAAUAAAAUGGCUAAGAGCAAUGUUAUACAUGAAAUGGGUUUACAUAGACAUUGAGUUUCAAAGGAGCCGUAGCUGGUACUGUUAUAAAGUUUGGACUGAGAAGGAGAAAGUUUUAUGCAUCAUUUUGUGGAUGAAUGAGGUAAGAAGAUUUAGUACAUAAAAAGGUAUUCGAUUGGGGAUUUUACCGCCAUACAUAAAAUUAAAAACCUUAUUUUCUUUUUUAUAAAAAGAAGAGCAAUUAUAUACCAAAUGAGAAAGAGAUAAAUGAAUAAAAAUAAAAACAGAAUGUUUGCAAUUUUAACAAGAAGCAAGAGGGCACUGUACCAUUGAGGGCCGUGGAGCCACAUUUAAUCGAAUAGCUCUUCUCCAUCUCAUUCUAAUUAUAUGUAACAAAGGGAGAAAGGACAUCCUUAGCAUCAGGCUGAUUCCAUUUCUUCUCCUUUGUGAUUUUCUUCCGAUGCUAUUAUUUCCUCCAUUUCUUCACAACUGCUAACACUAAUUUCCUCUAAGUUUUGGAGGCUCUUCAACAGCUCAACUGGAAACAACUUCUUAAUCUUCGAACAUCUACACAUAUCUAAUAUUUUAAGAGAAGAGAAGAUGGUAGGUGGUGUUGGAGCAUCAGAGUAAUUCUUUAGCAAAUGAGAAAGAGAUGAAAAUAAACUCACAAUUAAUGUUUGCAGUUCUUAAUAAGAAGCAAGAGCCUUACAGCCACAAUUAAUCAAACACCAAUUCUCCAUCUCAUUCUACCAAUAUUGAACAAAGGGAGAAAGGACCUCCUUAGCAUCAGGCUGAUCCCAUUCCACUGAUUCCCACCAUUCUCUCGGGCUUACUGUCAUUUUUGGUAGAGAAGGAGGAGGAGAUGGUUUCCCAUUUUCAACAAGGGGAAGAGACAAAGGGAUCCUCUUAACUUCUGGACAUUCAACUAUAUGAAGAAAUUGGAGAGAAUCUGCAGGAAUCAUAAGUCCACCGCUGCAAAUGCUUUUCAAUUUUGGUAAUUCUUCCAAGACUAAUGAUUUUAAUUUGGGAAGAAUAAAUGUUGUUCCUUCUCCUUUGUGAUUUUCUUCUGAUGCUAUUAUUUCCUCCAUUUCAUCACAAUAUCUAACAUCAAUAUUCUCUAAGUUUGGGAGGCCUUGCAACUGCUCAACUGGAAACAACUUCUUCACCCUCGAACAAAAACUGAUAUCUAAUUUUUUAAGAGAAGAGAAGAUGGCAGGUGGUGUUGGAGAAUGAGAGGUAGAUUCAAUUUCAACUGCUACUCCUACUCUCACAACUUCACGCAAGUUUUUCAACAAAAAUAGGCGUAACUCCUCAAUGUUGUCAAGUGCGUCACAAGACGAUAAUGACAAGUCAACCACACACUCCAUCCCUUUACACUGCCAAAUUCGACAUUCCUUCCAGUCAGUCGCCUUACGAAACAAAGGAAUGUUGUUUAAACAUUUGAAAUCAUCAUACUUGUCAAUAGUUAAAGUUUGAAGGUCAUGUGGGACCACCCUAGGGACCAGUCUGAUGAGUUCUAUCUUUCAGGGAAUUCAGGCUUAAACAUCAACUUUCAGGGAAUUAAGGCUUGAAUCCUUCAAAAAGUGGGAGCUGAGUACCAUCACAAUUCCCUUUUGAACCACAAAGUCCAUAUCUGUCAAAAUAGUCUCUUGGAGCAAAUGAGAAAAGCAUCCAAGCUUGCUUUCUGCAUUUCAUGUGUAGUCCUGUGAUCAAUGAUUUCUAUUUGAGACACUUAUGAUGGUUGACAUAAAAAAUAGAAAUACCAAGUGGGUAGAUCAUGCGCUGUUUUCAUAGGAUAAUGUGAUUGAUUGACUUUUGAUGAAUGAAGUAUACACAAAGUGCAGCAGAAAACAAAUUAUAAACAUUCUCUUCAUUGGACAAACAUAACUUCAAUGACUUACUUGUAUUAAAUGAUUUCCAAUUCAUCAACCAUUUGAGACUAGUGUGGAUGUGCAGGAUAGUCCUAAGAAUUCAUCACCAAGUUCAACAGGGGUGCCUUCCUUCCUCCCAUAAUCUCCAAGCCUGCAGCAAAUUGAAAACCUUUUAGUCAUUUUGCUAUAUCUUUCAACAUUUUAAUUCAUAAUAAUCAAAGUAUUUUUGAAACAUGCGAGUGAAAAUGAAAAUAAAGGAAACGGGUGGGAAGGUGUAAUAGGAGGGGAUGUAGGAAAUGUGAGAUAGCAAUUGGCGGAGAAAUGCAGAUUGAAGGGUGUUGAGUUGGAGAAUUUAUUUUUAUAUUAAAAAUAAAAAGUUAAAGACUUAGUUUUAUUUUGAUAUUAAAAAAGAGAAAUUAUUUAACAAAUGAGAAAUUAAGAGAUAAAAAGAGGACGUGGAUGAAAAUAAACUCACAGUGUUUGCAGUUCUUAAUAAGAAGCAGGAGCCUUACAGCCACAUUUAAUCAAACACCUCUUCUCCAUCUCAUUCUACCACUGAGAAUAUCGAAGAAAGGGAGAAAGGACAUCCUUAGCAUCAGGCUGAUCCCAUUCCACUGAUUCCCACCAUUCUCUCGACCAUACUGUGAUUUCUUUUAGAGAAGGAGGAAGAGAUGGUUUCCCAUUUUCAACAAGGGGAAGAGACAAAGGGAUCCUCUUUACUUCUGGACAUUUGAUUAUAUAAAGAUAUUGGAGAGAAUCUGUAGGAAUCAUAAGUCCACCACUGCAAAUGCUUUUCAAUUUUGGUAACGUAGCCAACUUUAAUGAUUUUAAUUUGGGAAGAAUAAAUGUUGUUCCUUCUCCUUUGUGAUUUUCUUCUAAUGCUAUUAUUUCCUCCAUUUCAUCACAAUAUCUAACAUCAAUAUUCUCUAAGUUUGGGAGGCCUUGCAACUGCUCAACUGGAAACAACUUCUUCACCCUCGAACAAAAACUCAUACGGAAUCGUUUAAGAGAAGAGAAGAUGGCAGGUGGUGUUGGAGCAUGAGAGGUAGAUUCAAUUUCAACCGCUACUCCUACUCUCACAACUUCACGCAAGUUUUCCAUCAAAAAUAGGCCUAACUCCUCAAUGUUGUCAAGUGCGUCACAAGACGAUGAUGACAACUCAACCACACACUCCAUCCCUUCACACUCCCCAAUUCGACAUUCCUUAAAGUCAGUCGCCUUACGAAACAAAGGAAUGUUGUUUAAACAUUUGAAAUCAUCAUCCUUGUUAAUAGUUAAAGUUUGAAGGUCAUGUGGGACCACCCUAUCAUCACACCUCUCUAUCUCC
rnacentral:lncRNA from 1 species